UCUCUCUCUUCUGCCGUGGUCAGAUCUUGAGUCGUACUCAAUGCUCACACCUUAUAACACAGCCAAGAACUCCUUCUUUGCCGAUCUGUUUUGAACUCCUUCAAAAUCUUGUCACGGUAUGUAUUCAUUUGAAAGUACUAUUAAGCGUUUUGAUCUAUCCUUAUAGAUCUUCAUGCUCAAUGUUCAAGUAGCUUAAUAUAGGUUUUCCAUUGAAAAACACUUUUCAAACAACCCUAUAUUUUUUUCAGAAAUUCUACAUCAUUUCUGAUCAACAAUAUGUCAACAACAUAUACUAAUCAGAAAUUCUAUAGUGCUCCCACUCACUUCUUUGGAAAUACAAGUUUCUCAUAAACUUUGUAUAAACCCAAAAUCUUUGAUCCUCUCAUAAAAGCGUAUAUGCCAACUCCGAGAUGCUUACUUCAGUCCUUUGAAGGAUUGCUGGAGCUUUGCAUACUUGUUAGCAUCUUAUAGUAUUGACAAAACCUUCUGGUUGUAUCAUAUACAACCUUUCCUCAAGAAAAUUGUCGAGGAAACAAUGUUUUGACAUCCUAUCUGCAAGGUUUCAUAAAUAAUGCAGUAACUGCUAAUAUAAUUCCAACACUCUUAGCACCGCUACGAGUGAGAAAGUCUCAUCACAAUCAACUCCUUGAACUUGUCAGAAAACAUCUUAGCGACAAGUUGAGCUUUCUUAAUGGUGACACUUACCAUCAUUCUCCGUCUUCCUUUUAAAAUCCAUCUGUACCCAACAGCCUUACGACCAUCAAGUAGUUGUUCCAAAGUCUAUACUUUGUUUUCAUGCAUGGAUCCUUUCUCGGAUUUUAUGGCCUCGAGCCAUUCGUCGGAAUCCGGGCCCACCAUCGCUUCUCCAUAGCUCGUAGGUUCAUUGUUAUCUAGUACCAUGACCUCCAAGACAGGAUUACAUACCACUCUGGAGUAGUACGUAUCCUUGUCGACCUACAAGUUUUGGUAGAGACUUGAUCCGAAGUUUAAUGAUCAAUAUCAUCAGCUUCCACUUCAAUUGGUGUAGGCGCCACAGGAACAACUUCCUGUGCCCUGCUGCACACUAGUUGAAGUGACGGUUCAAUAACCUCAUCAAGUCUCCACCAUCCUCCCACUCAAUUCUUUCGAGAGAAACUUUUCCUCGAGAAAGGACCCGUUUCUAGAAACAAUCACUUUUGCUUCCGGAUCUAAAAUAGGAGGUAUACCCAACUGUUUUGGGGUGUCCUAUGAAGAUGCAUUUAUCCGCUUUGGGUUCGAGCUUAUCAGCCUGAAACUUUUUCACAUAAGCGUCGCAGCCCCAAACUUUUAAGAAACGACAACUUAGGUUUCUCUAAACCAUAGUUCAUACGGUGUCGUCUCAACGGAAUUGCGUGGUGCCCUAUUUAAAGUGAAUGCGGUUGUCUCUAAUGCCUAACCCAUAAAUGAUAGUUAAUUCGAUAAGAGACAUCAUGGUAUGCACCAUAUCCAAUAGGGUGCAGCUAUGAUGUUCGGACACACCAUCACACUAUGGUGUUCCAGGCGGUAUUAGUUGUGACACAAUUUCCACAAUGUCUUAAUUGUAUACCAAACUCAUAACUCAGAUACUCAUCUCUAUGAUCAUAUCAUAGACAUUUUAUCCUCUUGUCACGAUGAUCUUCAACUUCACUGUAAAAUUACUUGAACCUUUCAAUAAUUCAGACUUGUGUCUCAUCAAGUAAAUAUACUCAGCAUCUACUCAAAUCAUUUGUGAAGAACAUAACGAUAUCCACUGCGUGCCUCAGCACUCAUUGGACUGCAUACAUCAAAAUGUAUUACUUCCAACAAGUUGCUUUCUUGUUCCAUCUUACUGAAAACGAGGCUUUUCAGUCAUCUUGCCCAUGUGGUAUGAUUUGCAUGUCUCAAGUGAUUCAAAAUCAAGUGAGUCCAAAUGAUCCAUCUGCAUGGAGUUUCUUCAUGCGUACAUACUAAUAGACAUGGUUCGCAUGUCUCAAACUUUUCAAAAAACGAGUGAGUCCGAAAGAUCCAUCAACAUGGAGCUUCUUCAUGCGUUUUAUACCAAUAUGAAUCAAAUGGCAGUGCCACAAGUAGGUGGUACUAUCAUUACUAUCUUAUAUCUUUUGCCAUGAACAUGUGUAUCACUACGAUCGAGAUUCAAUAAACCAUUCAUUUUAGGUGCAAGACCAUUGAAGGUAUUAUUCAAAUAAACAGAGUAACCAUUAUUCUCCUUAAAUGAACAACUGUAUUGCGAUAAACAUAAUCCAAUCAUGUCUAUGCUCAACGCAAACACCAAAUAACAAUUAUUUAGGUUUAACACCAAUCCCUAUGGUAGAGGGAGCGUGCGAUGUUUGAUAAUAUCAACCUUGGAAAUACUUCCAACACAUAUCAUCACCUCGCCUUCAGCUAGUCUUCAUUUAUUCCGUAGCCUUUUAUUUUGAGUUACUAACACUUAGCAACUGAACCGGUAUCUAUUACACUGGUGCUACUAGGAGUACUAGUAAAGUACACAUUAAUAUAAUGUAUAUCCAAUAUACUUCUGUCGACCUUGCCAGCCUUCUCAUCUACCAAGUAUCUAGGGUAGUUCUACUUCAGUGACCGUUCCCCUCAUUACAGAAGCACUUAGUCUCGGGUUUGGGUUCAAACUUUGGGUUUCUUCACUAGAGUAGCAACUGAUUUGCCGUUUUCAUGAAGUAUCCCUUCUUGCCCUUGCCCUUCUUGAAACUAGUGGUUUCACUAACCAUCAACAAUAGAUGCUCCUUCUUGAUUUCUACUUUCGCGGUGUCAAACAUCAUGAAUAGCUCAAGGAUCAUCAUAUCUAUCCCUGAUAUGUUAUAGUUCAUCAAGAAGCUAUAGUAGCUUGGUGGCAAUGACUUUGGAGAACCAUCACUAUCUCUUAAGGAAGAUUAACUCCCACUCGAUUCAAGUGAUUGUAGUACUCAGACAAUCUGAGCACAUGCUCAACGAUUGAGCUUUUCUCCCUUAGUUUGCAGGCCUAAGAAACUCGUCAGAGGUCUCAAACCUCUUGACAUGGGCACGAGCCUGAAAUCCCAAUUUCAGCCCUUUGAACAUCUCAUAUGUUCCGCGACGUUUCAAAAUCGUCUUCGGCGCCUCAAUUCUAAACCGUUUAACAUUACUGAACUAUCACGUAGUCAUCAAAAUGUGUAUGUCAGAUGUUCGCAACAUCCACAGACGACGUCCGAGGUUCAGCACACCGAGCGAUGCAUUAAGGACAUAAGCCUUCUGCGUAGCAAUGAGGACAAUCCUCAGUUUACGGACCUAGUCCGCAUAAUUGCUACUAUCAACUUUCAACUAAAUUUUCUCUAGGAACAUAUCUUAAAACAGUAGAACUAAAGCAUAGGCUACGGCAUAAUUUGCAAAGACCUUUUGACUAUGUUCAUGAUAAUUAAGUUCAUCUGAUUAUUUAAUGAACUCCCACUUAGAUAGACAUCCCUCUAGUCAUCUAAGUGAUACAUGAUCCGAGUCAACUAGGCCGUGUUCGAUCAUCACGUGAGACGGACUAGUCAUCAUUGGUGAACAUCUUCAUGUUGAUCGCAUCUGCUAUACGACUCAUGUUCGACCUUUCGGUCUCUGUGUUCCGAGGCCAUGUCUGUACAUGCUAGGAUCGUCAAGUCAACCUAAGUGUUUUGCAUGUGUAAAUCUGGCUUACACCCGUUGUAUGCGAACGUUAGAAUCUAUCACACCCGAUCAUCACGUGGUGCUUCGAAACAACGCACCUUCGCAACGGUGCACAGUUAGGGGGAACACUUUCUUGAAAUUUUAUGAGGGAUCAUCUUAUUUAUGCUAUCAUCGUUCUAAGCAAAUAAGAUGCAAAAACAUGAUAAACAUCUCAUGCAAUCAAAUAGUGACAUGAUAUGGCCAAUAUCAUUUUGCUCCUUUUGAUCUCCAUCUUCGGGGCGCCAUGAUCAUCAUCGUCACCGGCAUGACACCAUGAUCUCCAUCAUCGUGUCUUCAUGAAGUUGUCUCGCCAACUAUUACUUCUACUACUAUGGCUAAUGGUUUAGCAAUAAAGUAAAGUAAUUACAUGGCGUUAUUCAAUGACACGCAGGUCAUACGAUAAAUUAAGACAACUCCUAUGGCUCCUGCCGGUUGUCAUACUCAUCGACAUGCAAGUCGUGAUUCCUAUUACAAGAACAUGAUCAAUCUCAUACAUCACAUUAUAUCAUUCAUCACAUCCUUUUGGCCAUAUCACAUCACACAGCAUAUGCUGCAAAAGCAAGUUAGACGUCCUCUAAUUGUUGUUGCAAGUUUUUACGUGGCUGCUAUAGGUUUCUAGCAAGAACGUUUCUUACCUACGCCAAAACCACAACGUGAUAUGCCAAUUGCUAUUUACCCUUCAUAAGGACCCUUUUCAUCGAAUCCGAUCCGACUAAAGUGGGAGAGACAGACACCCGCUAGCCACCUUAUGCAACUAGUGCAUGUCAAUCGGCGGAACCUGUCUCACGUAAGUGUACGUGUAAGGUCGGUCUGGGCCGCUUCAUCCCACGAUGCCGCCAAAUCAAGAUAAGACUAGUAACGGUAAGCAUAUUGAACAAACCAACGCCCACAACUACUUGUGUUCUACUUGUGCAUAGAAUCUACGCAAAGACCUAGCUCAUGAUGCCACUGUUGGGGAAUGUAGCAGAAAUUCAAAAUUUUCUACGUAUCACCAAGAUCAAUCUAUGGAGAUUCUAGCAACAAGAGAGGGAGAGGAUGAGCAUCUUCAUACAUUUGAAGAUUGCUAAGCGGAAGCAUUACAAGAACGCGGAUGAUGGAGUCGUACUCGCGGCGAUUCAAAUCGUGGAAGAUCCGAUCUAGCACCGAACGGACGGCGCCUCCGCGUUCAACAUACGUACAGCCCGGGGACGUCUCCUCCUUCUUGAUCCAGCAAGGGGAGAGGAGAAGUUGAGGGAGAAAUCCGACAGCACGACAACAUGGUGGUGGUGGAGCUCAUGGUUCUCUAGCAGGGCUUCGCCAAGCACUAUAGAGGAGGAGGAGGUAUUGGAGGAGGGAGAGGGCUGCGCCAGGGGAAGGGUGCGGCUGCCCUCUCUCUCCCUUACUAUAUAUAGGGGGAAGGGGGUGGAGGAGGCACCCUAGGGUUCCCUAGGGGAUGGGUGGCGGCCACAGGGGAAACCCUAGAUGGGUUUGGGCGCCCCCACCCCCUAGGAAACUUGCCUACCAAGCCGGGAGGGGCGGCUGCCCUAGGGGUGGCGCCCCUACCUCUCCAGGUUACGCAAGAUGGAAUGGGAGGGGCGCUCAGCCCCUUAGUGGGCUGAUGUGCCCCCUCCCCUUGGCCCAUAAGGCCCCCCAAUGCUUGUCGGGGCCUCCGAAACCCCUUUCGGACACGAUGGUCAUCACCUGGUACCCCCGGAACAAUUUUGGACUCCAAUACCCUUCGUCCAAUAUAUCGAUCUUCACCUCUGGACCAUUCCGGAGUUCCUCGUGACGUCCGGGAUCUCAUCCGAGAAUUCGAACAACCUUCGGUAACCACAUACUAUUUCCCAUAACAACUCUAGCGUCACCGAACCUUAAGUGUGUAGACCCUACGGGUUCGGGAACCAUGCAGACAUGACCGAGACGUUCUCUGGCCAAUAACCAACAGCGGUAUCUGGAUACCCAUGUUGGCUCCCACAUGUUCCAUGAUGAUCUCAUCGGAUGAACCACAAUGUCGAGGAUUCAAUCAAUCCCGUAUACAAUUCCCUUGUCCAUUGGUAUGUUACUUGCCCGAGAUUCGAUCGGCGGUAUCCCUAUACCUUGUUCAAUCUCGUUACCGGUAAGUCACUUUACUCGUUCCGUAAUGCAUGAUCCCGCGACUAACUACUUAGUCACAUUGAGCUCAUUAUGAUGAUGCAUUACCGAGUGGGCCCAGAGAUACCUCUUUGUCAUACGGAGUGACAAAUCCCAGUCUCGAUUCGUGCCAACCCAACAGACACUUUCGGAGAUACCUGUAGUGCACCUUUAUAGCCACCCAGUUACGUUGUGACGUUUGGUACACCCAAAGCAUUCCUACGGUAUCCGGGAGUUGCACAAUCUCAUGGUCUAAGGAAAUGAUACUUGACAUUAGAAAAGCUCUUAGCAAACGAACUACACGAUGUUGUGCUAUGCUUAGGAUUGGGUCUUGUCCAUCACAUCAUUCUCCUAAUGAUGUGAUCCCGUUAUCAAUGACAUCCAAUGCCCAUGGUCAGGAAACCAUAACCAUCUAUUGAUCAACGAGCUAGUCAACUAGAGGCUCACUAGGGACAUGUUGUGGUCUAUGUAUUCACACAUGAAUUACGGUUUUCAGUUAAUACAAUUAUAGCAUGAACAAUAGACAAAUAUCAUGAACAAGGAAAUAUAAUAAUAACCAUUUUAUUAUUGCCUCUAGGGCAUAUUUCCAACAGAAGGUUCGGGAGGCUCUCAAGGGAAAUGCUUGGAUGCUCAAGAUCAGACAAGACACCGUCAUCACCGGCCACCAUGUCUCCGAAUUCUUUACUCUCUGGAUGCUCAUUCACGAGUUCCAGUCAACGAACACUCCAAAGAUGCAUUAUAUGGAAACACUCUACAGAUGGUUUAUACUCCACGCCAACUGCGUACAAGGUGCGGUUCCUUGGUUUGACUCUAUCCCCCAUGAAAUUCAUGGUGUGGAAGUGUGGGAGCCCCCGAAAGUCAAAUUCUUCGCUUGGCUGGCCUUGCAAGAUCGGAUUUGGACCGCCGACCGGCUUGAGCAGCAUGGUUGGCCUAACUGUGGCCUCUUCCCCCUCUGCAAGCGAGAGCAGGAGACGCGCAUCCAUCUCUUCGUUAAGUGCCGCUUCACUACUAGGGUCUGGCAUUUGAUCAUUGAUAAAUAUGCCCUUGUGCACUGAUACGUCUCCUACGUAUCUAUAAUUUUUGAUUAUUCCAUGCUAUUAUAUUACCUGUUUUGAAUGAUUAUGGGCUUUAUUAUACACGUUUAUAUUACUUUUGGGACUAACCUAUUAACCGGAGGCCCAGCCCAUAUUGCUGUUUUAUUGCCUGUUUCGGUAUUUCGAAGAAAAGGAAUAUCAAACGGAGUCCAAACGGAACGAAACCUUCGGCAGCGUGAUUCUUUGGAAGAAUAUCAUCCAGGAGACUUGGAGUUCACGUCAUAAGAGCCUCGAGGAGACCACGAGAUAGGAGGGGGGCCCCCCACUGGGCGUGCCCCCUGUCUCGUGGACCCCUCGAGCACCCCCCGACUGAUUUCUUUCGCCUAUAUAAGCCUACGUACCCUAAAAACAUCGAAUAUCAAGAUAGAUCGGGAGUUCCGCUGCCGCAAGCCUCUAUAGCCACCAAAAACCUCUCGGGAGCCCGUUCUGGCACCCUGCCAGAGGGGGAACCCAUCAUCGGUGGUCAUCUUCAUCAUCCCGGUGCUAUCCAUGAUGAGGAGGGAGUAGUUCACCCUCGGGGCUGAGGGUAUGUACUAGUAGCUAUGUGUUUGAUCUCUCUCUCUCUCGUGUUCUCUCUAUGGCACGAUCUUGAUGUAUCGCGAGCUUUGUUAUUAUAGUUGGAUCUUAUGAUGUUUCUCCCCCUCUACUCUCUUGUGAUGAUAUCGGAUUGAGUCUUUACUUUGAGAACACUUGAUGUAUGUCUUGUCGUGUUUAUCUGUGGUGACAAUGGGAUAUCACGUGCCACUUGAUGUAUGUUUUGGUGACCAACUUGCGGGUUCCGCCCAUGAACCUAUGCAUAGGGGUUGGCACACGUUUUCUUGACUCUCCAGUAGAAACUUUGGGGCACUCUUUGAAGUACUUUGUGUUGGUUGGAUGAAUCUGAGAUUGUGUGAUGCAUAUCGUAUAAUCAUGCCAACGGAUACUUGAGGUGACAAUGGAGUAUCUAGGUGACAUUAGGGUUUUGGUUGAUUUGUGUCUUAAGGUGUUAUUCUAGUACGAACUCUUUAAUAGAUCGAUCCGAAAGAAUAACUUUGAGGUGGUUUCGUACCCUACCUUAAUCUCUAUGUUUGUUCUCCGCUAUUAGUGGCUUUGGAGUGACUCUUUGUUGCAUGUUGAGGGCUUGUUAUAUGAUCUAUCUAUGUUAUUAUUGUUGAGAGAACUUGCACUAGUGAAAGUCUGAACCCUAGGCCUUCUUUCCUAUCAUUGCAAUACCGUUUGUGCUCACUUUUAUCGCUUGCUACCUUGCUGUUUUUAUAAUUUCAGAUUACAAAUACCUUUAUCUACCAUCCAUAUUGCACUUGUAUCACCAUCUCUUCGCCGAACUAGUGCACCUAUACAAUUUGCCAUUGUAUUGGGUGUGUUGGGGACACAAGAGACUCUUUGUUAUUUGGUUACAGGGUUGUUUGAGAGAGACCAUCUUCAUCCUACGCCUCCCACGGAUUGAUAAACCUUAGGUCAUCCACUUGAGGGAAAUUUGCUACUGUCCUACAAACCCGUGCACUUUCAGGCCCAACAACGUCUACAAGAAGAAGGUUGUGUAGUAGACGUCAAGCUCUUUUCUGGCGCCAUUGCCGGGGAGGUGAGUGCUUGAAGGUAUAUCUUUAGAUCUUGAAAUCGAAUCUUUUUGUUUCUUGUUUUAUCACUAGUUUAGUUUAUAAAAGAAAACUACAAAAAUAUGGAGUUGAGUUUGUCUCAUACGCUUCGUAUUUUUAAUAUCAUUCGUGAGUUUGAUGAAAAGGAAAAUUGUUCUCAAGUUCUAGAAGAAGAAAUCUAUAGAAUUUUUGGUACUAGAUCUUUGAAUGAUGAGCAUGAUUGCAAUGUUGUUAGUAUAAACUCCUUGAAUAUCCAUAGUACUAAUGAUGAUUGCACUAAUCAUGAUGGUAAUGUCUCCUAUAAGCAUGUUGAUUUGUGUGGAGUAGAUUGGACUUGCAUGGACACACCAAAUAGAGAAAAUAGAUAUUGCAAGAGGCAUAAGUAUUUAAAAACUAAAGGUUUGCAAGAAAGUCUUGAUGAGUGUGCUAGAAGAUUCAAUAUUUUUCGUGCUCCUUGUGAACUUUGCAAUGAACAUGGUCAUUUAAAUCUCCAAUGCAAAUUGUUUCAUGAUUGAAUCGUGUCCAAAAAUUGUGAUAACUUGAUUACCCUUGGGAAUCAUAAAGAGCUUAGUCUUCUUUUGGGGUAUGAAGAAAUGAAACUUAUAACUGAGGGUAUUCCAAAAUUUAAUCUUGAUAGAUUUCUUGAUUUUGAUCUAGAGGAUAUUUAUAUGUUUUGUGCGGUGAAUUGCAUUGAAAAUCCUUAUAUUGCCAAUUACCUAAAGAAAAGGAAACAAAUAGAAGAUGAAGAGAAUACUAAUGAAAGGGAAGAGACUUCCCAAUCUCCUCCUAUUAUUUCUUGUGAUGAAUCAGGUAACGAGGAGGAGCUUUCUAUUCAACCAAUCUCGUCAAUAAGGAGCUCAAAGAGGAAGGUUGAACCCACACAUAAUGUGAAAAGAAAAGGAAAAAAAGGAGCAACAAAGGUAGAAAGGUAUCCCUCCCAAAUGAUGUUGCUCCUACUACUCAUUGUGAUGAUGAUAAUUGCUAUACUAUUGGUGCUAUCCACAUUUUUAAGGAUGAGAGUGAUUAUGCUUAUGAUAUGAAAGGGACCAAGCUUGGGGAAGCUACGUUUGAUGAGGAUGAAAUAUUUGAGAAUAUAUUUUCUGAAAUCAAUGUUUGUCCCAAGCUUGGGGAUGCUACGUUUAGUGAAGAUGAUAUUUUUAGCAUCACAAGUUUUGAUAUGUAAAGUUGUUAUGAUGAUAGCAUGCCUCCUACCUAUGAUGAUUAUAUUGAUGAAAGUGGGUUCGGAAGAGAGUCAACUUUAGGAAGUAGUGAUCCCACUAUUUUGGAGGAUGUUGAUUCUUAUUGUGAUGAAUAUGAAAGUGGAUUUGGAAGAGUGUCAACUUUAUUUAGUAUUCCACUAUCUCGGGAGAGGUUUCAAUCGAUUAUGAUGAGAACGAAGUUGCUACUUAUGAUGAUUAUUGUGAUGAAACUUAUGCUAUAAAAAGUAGUGAUGAUUAUAUUUACAAAUCUUGUCAUGAUUAUGAUUACCCUUUUUCUGAACAUUACUCUUUUAAUGUGGAAACAAUUUAUAGUAUUCAAGUCUUUUAUGAUACUCCCACUAUUCCGAAUGAGAAGAAAUUUGCUUAUGUGGAGAGCAGUAAAUUUUCUAUGCUUGUAGAUCAUGAAAAGAAUGCUUUAGGUGAUGGUUAUAUUGUUGAAUUCAUUCAUGAUGCUACUGAAAAUUAUUAUGAGAGAGGAACAUAUGCUUGUAGGAAUUGCAAUAAUGUCAAGUUUCCUCUCUAUGUGCUUAAAAUCUUGAAGUUAUGCUUGUUUUACCUUCCUAUGCUAUUUGAUUGUUGUUCCCAUAAGUUGUUUGCUUAAAAAAAUCCCUAUGCAUAGGAAGUGGGUUAGAAUUAAAUGUGCUAGUCAUAUGCUUCAUGAUGCUCCCGUUAUGUUUCAAUUCUUAUCUUUUAUGUGAGCAUCAUUGUCAUCAUCAUGCCUAGCUAGAAAGGCAUUAAAGAAAAGCGCUUGUUGGGAGACAACCCAAUAUUUAUCCUUACUGUUUUUGUGUGUUCACAUGAUUAUGCUACUGUAUUAAUCAUGUUUUAUAUCUUUUGUUUCAAUAAAAUGCCAAGUAAGACCUUUAGGAUAGCUUACGGUGAUAGUUGUGUUGAUCCUGCUGAAAAUCAGAAACUUUUGCACCCAGUAAAUUAGUUUUGUUAAUUCACAGAAACGUGCUCCUGAUCUGAUUCUUUUUGCUCCGGAUUGGUACACAUAUUUCUUAGGAUUUACUAAUUUGGUAGGAUUUUUGGAGUUCCAGAAGUAUGCGUUUGAUACAGAUUACUACAGACUGUUCUGUUCUUGACAGAUUCUGUUUUCUAUGUGUUGUUUGCUUAUUUUGAUGAAUCUAUGAGUAGUAUCGGAGGGUAUGAAUCAUAGAUAAGUUGGAGUACAGUAGAUAUUACAACAAUAUGAAUUUAGAAUGAGUUAAUUACAGUACCUAAGUGGUGGUUUUGUUUGUCUUAUACUAACGUAGCUUAUAAGAUUUCCUGUUGAGUUUUGUGUUGUGAAGUUUUCAAGUUUUGGGUAAAGCUUUUAUGGACUAUGGAAUAAGGAGUGGCAAGAGCCUAAGCUUGGGGAUGCCCAAGGAACCCCAAGAUAUUCAAGAAUAUCCAAAAGCCUAAGCUUGGGGAUGCCCCGGGAAGGCAUCCCCUCUUUCGUCUUCGUUCAUUGGUAACUUUACUUGGAGCUAUAUUUUUAUUCGCCACAUGAUAUGUGUUUUGCUUGGAGCGUUGUGUAUUAUAUUAGUCUUUGAUUUUUAGUUUACCACAAUCAUCCUUGCUAUACACACCUUUUGGGAGAAGCCUAUUUGAUUAGAAUUUGCUAGAAUACUCUAUGUGCUUCACUUAUAUCUUUUGAGCUUGAUAGUUUUUGCUCUAGUGCUUCACUUAUAUCUUUUAGAGCACGGCGAUGGUUUUAUUUUGUAGAAAUUAAUGAACUCUCAUGCUUCACUUAUAUUAUUUUGAGAGUCUUAAACAACAUGGUUAUUUGAAUGAAAACUAUCAUAGGAAGUGAAUUGGAUGCUAUGAUUAAUUUGAUACUUGAUAUAUAAUUGUUUUGAGAUAUGGAGGUACUGAUAUUAAAGUCAUGCUAGUUGGGUGAUUAUGAAUUUAAAGAAUGCUUGUGUUGAAGUUAGCAAGUCCCAUAGCAUGCACGUAUGGUUAAAGUUGUGUAACAAAUUUGAAACAUGAAGCGUACCUGGCUUGUGUAUCCUUAUGAGUGGCGGUCGGGGACGAGCGAUGGUCUUUUCCUACCAAUCUAUCCCCCUAGGAGCAUGCGUGUAGUGCUUGAUUUUUGAUGACUUCUAAAUUUUUGCAAUAAGUAUAUGAGUUCUUUUGACUAAUGUUGAGUCCAUGGAUUAUACGCACUUUUACCUUUCCAUCAUUGCUAGCCUCUUCGGUACCGUGCAUUGCCCUUUCUCACCUUGAGAGUUGGUGCAAACUUCACCGGUACAUCCAAACCCCGUGAUACGAUACGCUCUAUCACACAUAAACCUCCUUAUAUCUUCCUCAAAACAGCCACCAUACCUACCUAUUAUGGCAUUUCCAUAGCCAUUCCGAGAUAUAUUGCCAUGCAACUUUCCACCGUUCCGUUCAUCAUCAUCAUGACAUACUUUACUUUUGUCAUAUUGCCAUUGCAUGAUCAUGUAGUUGACAUCGUAUUUUUGGCAAAGCCACCAUGCAUAAUUUUUCAUACAUGUCACUCUUGAUUCGUUGCACCAUCCCGGUACACCGCCCGAGGCAUUCAUAUAGAGUCAUAUCUUGUUCUAGUUUCGAGUUGUAAUUCAUAUGUUGUAAUCAAUGAAAGUGUGAUGAUCAUCAUUAUUAGAGCAUUGCCCAAAAAAGGCCAAAAGAAAAAAAAGGCCCAAAGAAAAAAAAAGAAAAUAAAGAAAAUAAAUAAAAAGGUCAAUGCUACUAUCUCUUUUUCCACACUUGUGCUUCAAAGUAGCACCUUGUUCUUCAUGUAGUGAGUCUCAUAUAUUGUGCUUCAAAGUAGCACCAUGUUUUUCAUAUAGUGAGUCUCAUAUGUUGUCACUUUCAUAUACUAGUGGGAUUUUUUCAUUAUAGAACUUGGCUUGUAUAUUCCUACGAUGGGCUUCCUCAAAUGUCCUAGGUCUUCGUGAGCAAGCAAGUUGGAUGCACACCCACUAGUUUUCUUUUGUUGAGCAUUCAUUUGUAGCUCUAGUGCAUCCGUUGCAUGGCAAUCCCUACUCCUCAUGUUGACAUCAAUUGAUGGGCAUCUCCAUAGCCCGUUGAUUAUCCUCGUCAAUGUGAGACUUUCUCCUUUUUUUAUCUUCUCCACACAAUCCCCAUCAUCAUAUUCUAUUCCACCUAUAGUGCUAUAUCCAUGGCUCACGCUCAUGUAUUGCGUGAAGGUUGAAAAAGUUUGAGAUUAUUUAAGUAUGAAAAAAUUGCUUGGCUUGUCAUUGGGGGUAUAGAAGUUGGGAACAUCUUUGUGUGACAAAAAUGAAGCAUAUCCUAACUAUAUGAUUUUGUAGGGAUGAACUUUCUUUUGCCAUGUUAUUUUGAGAAGACAUGAUUACUUUGAUUAGUAUGCUUGAAGUGUUACUAUUUCUUUUAUCAAUAUGAACUUUUAUCUUGAAUCAUUUGGAUCUGAACAUUCAUGCCACAAUAAAGUAAAAUUACUUUGAGAAUCAUGCUAGGUAGCAUUCCACAUCAAAAAUUCUGUUUUUAUCAUUUACCUACUUGAGGACGAGCAGGAAUUAAGCUUGGGGAUGCUUGAUACGUCUCCAACGUAUCUAUAAUUUUUGUUUGUUCCAUGCUAUUAUAUUACCUGUUUUGAAUGAUUAUGGGCUUUAUUAUACACUUUUAUAUUACUUUUGGGACUAACCUAUUAACCGGAGGCCCAACCCAUAUUGCUGUUUUAUUGCCUGUUUCAGUAUUUUGAAGAAAAGGAAUAUCAAAUGGAGUCCAAACGGGACGAAACCUUUGGCAGCGUGAUUUUUUUGGAAGAAUAUCAUCCAGGAGACUUGGAGUUCACAUCAAAAGAGCCUCGAGGAGGUCACGAGAUAGGAGGGCGCCCCCCCCUNNNNNNNNNNNNNNNNNNNNNNNNNNNNNNNNNNNNNNNNNNNNNNNNNNNNNNNNNNNNNNNNNNNNNNNNNNNNNNNNNNNNNNNNNNNNNNNNNNNNNNNNNNNNNNNNNNNNNNNNNNNNNNNNNNNNNNNNNNNNNNNNNNNNNNNNNNNNNNNNNNNNNNNNNNNNNNNNNNNNNNNNNNNNNNNNNNNNNNNNNNNNNNNNNNNNNNNNNNNNNNNNNNNNNNNNNNNNNNNNNNNNNNNNNNNNNNNNNNNNNNNNNNNNNNNNNNNNNNNNNNNNNNNNNNNNNNNNGAAUAUCAAGAUAGAUCGGGAGUUCUACCGCCGCAAGCCUCUGUAGCCACCAAAAACCUCUCAGGAGUCCGUUCUGGCACCCUGCCGAAGGGGGAACCCAUCACCGGUGGCCAUCUUCAUCAUCCCGGCGCUCUCCAUGAUGAGGAGGGAGUAGUUCACCCUUGGGGCUGAGGAUAUGUACCAGUAGCUAUGUGUUUGAUCUCUCUCUCUCUCGUGUUCUCUCUAUGGCACGAUCUUGAUGUAUUGCGAGCUUUGUUAUUAUAGUUGGAUCUUAUGAUGUUUCUCCCCCACUACUCUCUUUUGAUGAAUUGAGUUUCCCUCUUGAAGUUAUCUUAUCGGAUUGAGUCUUUACUUUGAGAACACUUGAUGUAUGUCUUGCCGUGUUUAUCUGUGGUGACAAUGGGAUAUCACGUGCCACUUGAUGUAUGUUUUGGUGACCAACUCGUGGGUUCCGCCCAUGAACCUAUGCAUAGGGGUUGGCACACGUUUUCUUGACUCUCCAGUAGAAACUUUGGGGCACUCUUUGAAGUACUUUGUGUCGGUUGGAUGAAUCUGAGAUUGUGUGAUGCAUAUCGUAUAAUCAUGCCCACGGAUACUUGAGGUGACAAUGGAGUAUCUAGGUGACAUUAGGGUUUUGGUUGAUUUGUGUCUUAAGGUGUUAUUCUAGUAUGAACUCUUUAAUAGAUCGAUCCGAAAGAAUAACUUUGAGGUGGUUUCGUACCGUACCAUAAUCUCUAUGUUUGUUCUCCGAUAUUAGUGGCUUUGGAGUGACUCUUUGUUGCAUGUUGAGGGCUUGUUAUAUGAUCUAUCUAUGUUAUUAUUGUUGAGAGAACUUGCACUAGUGAAAGUAUGAACCCUAGGCCUUCUUUCCUAUCAUUGCAAUACCGUUUGUGCUCACUUUUAUCGCUUGCUACCUUGCUGUUUUUAUAAUUUCAGAUUACAAAUACCUUUAUCUACCAUUCAUAUUGCACUUGUAUCACCAUCUCUUCGCCGAACUAGUGCACCUAUACAAUUUACCAUUGUAUUGGGUGUGUUGGGGACACAAGAGACUCUUUGUUAUUUAGUUGCAGGGUUGUUUGAGAGAGACCAUCUUCAUCCUACGCCUCCCACGGAUUGAUAAACCUUAGGUCAUCCACUUGAGGGAAAUUUGCUACUGUCCUACAAACUUGUGCACUUGCAGGCCCAACAACGUCUACAACAAGAAGGUUGUGUAGUAGACAUCAAGCUCUUUUCUGGUGCUGUUGCCGGGGAGGUAAGUGCUUGAAGGUAUAUCUUUAGAUCUUGCAAUCGAAUCUGUUUCUUGUUUUAUCACUAGUUUAGUUUAUAAAAGAAAACUACAAAAAAAUGGAGUUGAGUUUGUCUCAUACGCUUCAUCUUUUUAAUAUCUUUCGCGAGUAUGAUGAAAAGGAAAAUUGUGCUCAAGUUCUAGAGGAAGAAUGCAUUAAAAUGUUUGGUACUAGAUCUUUGAAUGAUGAGCAUGAUUGCAAUGUUGUUAGUAUGAACUCCUUGAAUAUCCAUAGUACUAAUGACGAUUGCACUAGUUAUGAUGAAAAUAUCUCUUAUAAGCAUGUCAACUUUUGUGGAGUGCAUGUUUGCAUGAACACACCAAAUAGAGAAGAUAUAUAUUGCAAGAGGCAUAAGUAUUUAGAAACUAAAAGGUUGCAAGAAAGUCUUAAUGUUUGUGCUGAAAAAUUCAAUAUUUUUCGUGCCCCUUGUGAACUUUGCAAUGAACGUGAUCCUUUAAAUCUCCAAUGCAAAUUGUUUCAUGAUUGAAUCGUGUCCAAAAAUUAUGAUAACUUGAUUACGCUUGGUCAUCAUAAAGAGCUUAGUCUUCUUUUGGGGUAUGAAGAAAUGAAACGUAUAACUGAGGGUCUUCCAAAAUUUAAUCUUGAUAGAUUUCUUGAUUUUGAUCUAGAGAAGAUUUAUUUGUAUUGUGCGGAGAAUUGCAUUGAAAAUCCUUAUAUUGCCAAUUACAUAAAGAAAAGAAAGUAAAUAGAAGAUGAUGAGAAUACUAAUGAAAGGGAAGAGACUUCAAAAUAUCCUCCUAUUAUUUCUUAUGAUAAAUCAGGUGACGAGGAGGAACUUUCUAUUGAACCAAUCUCAUCAAUAAGGAGCUCAAAGAAGAUGGCUGAACCCACACAUAAUGUGAAGAAGAAAAGGAAGAGAAGGAGCAGCAAAGGUAAAAAGGUAUCCCUCCCAAAUAAUGUUGCUCCUACUACUCAUUGUGAUGAUGAUAAUUGCUAUACUAUUGGUGCUAUCCAUACUAUUAAUGAUGAGAGUGAUUAUGCUUAUGGUAUGAAAAGGCCCAAGCUUGGGGAAGCUAUGUUUGAUGAGGAUGAAAUAUUUGAGAAUAUAUUUUCUGUAAUUAAUGUUUGUCCCAAGCUUGGGGAUGCUACAUUUAAUGAAGAUGAUAUUUUUAGCGUCCCAAGUUUUGAUAUGCAAAGUUGUUAUGAUGAUAGCAUGCCUCUUACCUAUGAUGAUUAUAUUGAUGAAAGUGGGUUUGGAAGAGUGUCAACUUUAGGAAGUAGUGAUCCCACUAUUUUGGAGGAUGUUUAAUUUUAUUGUGAUGAAUAUGAAAGUGGAUUUGGAAGAGUGUCAACUUUAUUUAGUGAUUCCACUAUCUUGGGAGAGGUUUCAAUCGAUUAUGAUGAGAACAAAGUUGCUACUUAUGAUGAUUAUUGUGAUGAAACUUAUGCUAUAAAAAGUAGUGAUGAUUAUAUUUAUAAAACUUGUCAUGAUUAUGAUUACCCUUUUUCUGAACAUUACUCUUUUAAUUUGGAAACAUUUUUUAGUGUUCAAGUCUCUUAUGAUACUGUCACUAUUCCGAAUGAGAAUUGCUUAUGUGGAGAGUAAUAAAUUUUCUAUGCAAGUAGAUCAUGAAAAGAAUGCUUUAGGUGCUGGUUAUAUUGUUGAAUUCAUUCAUGAUGCUACUGAAAAUUAUUAUGAGGGAGGAACAUAUGCUUGUAGGAAUUGCAAUAAUAUCAAGUUUCCUCUCUAUGUGCUUAAAAUCUUGAAGCUAUGCUUGUUUUACCUUCCUAUGCUAGUUGAUUAUUGUUCCCAUAAGUUGUUUGCUCACAAAAUCCCUAUGCAUAGAAAGUGGGUUAGACUUAAAUGUGCUAGUCAUAUUAUUCAUGAUGCUCUCUUUAUGAUUCAAUUCUUAUCUUUUAUGUGAGCAUCAUUUCUUCAUGCCUAGCUAGGGGCGUUGAACGAUAGCGCUUGUUGGGAGGCAACCCAACUUUAUUUUUGUUCCUUGAUUUUUGUUCCUGUUUAGUAAUAAAUAAUUAAUCUAGCCUCUGGUUAGAUGGGAUUUCAUGUUUUAAUUAGUGUUUGUGCCAAGUAGAACCUUUGAGAAGACUUGGGUGAAGUUUAUGUGAUCAUGCUGUAAAAAAGAGAAACUUUUGCGCUCACGAGAAUAGCUGCCAUUUUUUACUGGAGAGUGAUUGUAGGUUGAUUCUUUUUGAAUAUGAAUACUAGACAAAUUACUCAGGUCCAGCAAUUUAUUUCAGAAUUUUUAGAGUUACAGAAGUAUUCUAAUGAUACAGAUCACUACAGACUGUUCUGCUUUUGACAGAUUCUGUUUUCAUUAUGUUGUUUGCUUAUUUUGAUGAGUCUAUGAGUAGUAUCAGAGGGUAUGAGCCAUAGAUAAAUUGGAAUACAAUAGAUAUUACACUAAUAUGAAUUUAGAAUGAGUUCACUACAGUACCUAAGUGGUGGUUUUAUUUUCUUGUACUAACGGACCUUACGAGUUUUCUAUUGAGUUUUGUGUUGUGAAGUUUUCAAGUUUUGGGUAAAGAUUCGAUGGACUAUGGAAUAAGGAGUGGCAAGAACCUAAUCUUGGGGAUUCCUAAGGCACCCCAAGGUAAUAUUCAAGGACAACCAAGAGCCUAAGCUUGGGGAUGCCCCGGAUGGCAUCCCCUCUUUCGUCUUCGUCUAUCAGUAACUUUACUUGGAGCUAUAUUUUUAUUCACCACAUGAUAUGUGUUUUGCUUGGAGCGUCAUUUUAUUUUGUUAGUAUUUGCUUGCUGUUAUUUAGAAUAAUUUUUUGCAUCUUUAGUUUCAACAAAAAUGUCAAGGAUAGCCUUUGCCAUGCUUAUUUUGCUAGUAUACAUGUUGCAGUUUGCAAACAGAAAGUUUACCGCUGUUGCAAAAAUUCCCUAGAAAAGUCAGAGAAUGGUAUAAUGUUGAAACUUUUUGCAUAUUGAGAUAUGAUAAAUGUAAUACAGUUGGGAUUUUCUCUCAUAAUUUUUGGAGUUAGGGAAGUAUGAUGAAUCUUGCAUUCUUUACAGACUAUACUGUUUUGACAGAUUGCUGUUAUGUUUGCAUUGUUUGCGUAUGUUUGCUUGUUUAAUGAUUCUACUUGAGGAUAGGAGUAUUAAAUAUGCAGAGGCAUUUAGUAUGCAAUGUGGAAUAAUAAUUUUAGUGAUUUGUUACAGUAGAAAAUGAUAAGGUUUUGCAUUGGUUUAUACUAACCUAUCUCACGAGUUCUUGUUGAGUUUGGUCUGGAUGAAGCUUCUUGAUAAAAAGAGAAACCAUGAUAUGAGAGGAAUUAAGGAGACACAAAAGUUCAAGCUUGGGGAUGCCCAAGGCACCCCAAGAUAAUAUUUCAACAAGUCUCAAGCAUCUAAGCUUCGGGACGCCCCGUAGGCAUCCCACCUUUCUUCUUCAACAACUAUCGGUUAGUAUCGGUUGAGCCUAAGUUUUUGCUUCUUCACAUGAGUUGUGCUAUCCUUGCAAUGCCAUUUUAUUUUGUUUUGCUUGCUGCUUGAAUAAAGUACUUGAGAUCUGAAAUUCCUCAAUGUUAGAGAGUCUUCACAUAGUUGCACAAUUAUUCGACUACUCAUGGAUCUUCACUUAUAUCUUUCGGAGUAGUUUGUCAUUUGCUCUAGUGCAUCACUUAUAUCUUUUAGAGCACGGCGGUGGUUAUAUUUUGUAGAAAUUGCUAGUCUCUCAUGCUUAACUUAUAUUAUUUUGAGAGUCUUUUAGAACAGCAUGGUAUUUGCUAUGGUUACAAAUUUGGUCCUAGAAUGAUGAGCAUCCAAGUUGGGUAUAAUAAAAACUAUCAUAGGAAGUGAAUUGGAUGCUAUGAUCAAUUUGUUGCUUGAUAAUUGUUUUGAGAUAUAAAGGUAGUAAUGUUAGGGUCAUGCUAGUGGAUAAUUAUGAAAUUGAGAAAUACUUUUGUUGAAGUUGGCAAGUCCCGUAGCAUGCACGUAUGGUAAAAGUUGUGUGACAAAUUUGUUGCAUGAGGUGCUCUUUUGAUUGUCUUCCUUAUGAGUGGCAGUCGGGGACGAGCGAUGGUCUUUUCCUACCAAUCUAUCCCUCUAGGGGCAUGCGUAGUAGUACUUUGCUUCGAGGGCUAAGUAGACUUUUUCAAUAAGUAUAUGAGUUCUUUAUGACUAAUGUGAGUCCAUCGAUAUACGCACACUCAUCCUUCCACUUUGCUAGCCUCUAUUAUACCGCGCAACUUUCGCCGGUAUCACACCCAUUAUUUACCUUCCUCAAAACAGCCACCAUACCUACCUAUUAUGGCAUUUCCAUAGUCAUUCUGAUAUAUAUUGCCAUGCAACUUUCCACCGUUCCGUUUAUUAUGACACGCUUCAUCAUUGUCAUAUUGCUCCCUGCAUGAUCAUGUAGUUGACAUUGUAUUUGUGGGAAGACCACCUUCAUAAUUUUCAUACAUGUCGCUCUUGAUUCAUUGCAUAUCCCGGUACACCGCCGGAGGCAUUCAUAUAGAGUCAUAUCUUGUUCUGGCUAAGUUGUAAUUCUUGAGUUGUAAAUCCAUAAAAGUGUGAUGAUCUUCAUUAUUAGAGCAUUGUCUCAGUGAGGAAAGGAUGAUGAAGAUUAUGAUUCCACCACAAGUCGGGAUGAGACUUCAGACUUUACAAAAAGAAAAAAAGAGAAGAAAAAAAGAGAGAUAAAGGCCAAAAAGAAAAAAAAGAAAUGCCAAAGAAAAAAAUAAAAAAAAUAAAAAAAAUAAAAAAUAAAAUGAGAGAAAAAGAGAGAAGGGACAAUGCUACUAUCUCUUUUUCCACACUUGUGCUUCAAAGUAGCACCAUGAUCCUCAUGAUAGAGAGUCUCCUAUGUUGUCACUUUAAUAUACUAGUGGGAAUUUUUCAUUAUAGAACUUGGCUUGUAUAUUCCAAUGAUGGGCUUACUCAAAACGCCCUAGGUCUUCGUGAGCAAGCAAGUUGAAUGCACACCCACUUAGUUUCUUUUGUUGAUCUUUCAUAUAUUUAUAGCUCUAGUGCAUCCGUUGCAUGGCAAUCCCUACUCACUCACAUUGAUAUCUAUUGAUGGGCAUCUCCAUAGCCCGUUGAUACGCCUAGUUGAUGUGAGACUAUCUUCUCCCUCUUUUGUCCUCACAACCACCACGAUUUACCACCUUAGUGCUAUGUCCAUGGCUUGCGCUCAUGUAUUGCGUAAGAGUUGAAAAAGCUGAAGCGCGUUAAAAAGUAUGAACCAAUUGCUCGGCUCGUCAUCGGGGUUGUGCAUGAUGGGAGUAUUUUGUGUAAUGAAAAUGAAGCAUGACCUAACUAUAUGAUUUUGUACGGAUAAGCUUUUGUUGGCUAUGCUAUUUUGAUAGGACAUGAUUAUUUGUUAGUAUGCUUUGAAGCACUAUUAUUUUUAUAUUUUAUAAGCUUUUAUCUUGAAUCAUUUGGAUCUGAACAUUCAUGCCACAAUAAAGAAAAUUACAUUGAUAAUUAUGCUAGGUAGCAUUCCACAUCAAAAAUUCUGUUUUUAUCAUUUACCUACUCGAGGACGAGCAUGAAUUAAGCUUGGGGAUGCUUGAUACGUCUCCAACGUAUCUAUAAUUUUUGAUUGUUCCAUGCUAUUAUAUUACCCCUUUUGGAUGUUUAUGGGUUUUAUUUUACACAUUUAUAUCAUUUUUGGGACUAACCUACUAACCGGAGGCCUAGCCCGUAUUGUUGUUUUAUUGUCUGUUUUAGUAUUUCGAAGAAAAGGAAUAUCAAACGGAGUCCAAACGGAAUGAAACCUUCGGUAAAGUUAUUUUUGGAACAGAACCAAUCCCAGGAACUUGGAGUGCAAGUCAGGGGAGCAUCGAGGGAGCCACGAGACAGGGGGGUGCGCCCACCCCCUGGGCACGCCCUACCCUCUUGUGGGCCCCUCGAGGCUCCCCCGACCGACUUCUUUCGCCUAUAUAAGCCUACGUACCCUAAAAACAUCGAAUAUGAAGAUAGACCGGGAGUUCCGCCGCCGCAAGCCUCUGUAGCCACCAAAAACCUCUCGGGAGCCCGUUCCGGCAUCCUGCCGGAGAGGGGGAUCCCUCACCGGUGGUCAUCUUCAUCAUCCCAGCGCUAUCCAUGACGAGGAGGGAGUAGUUCACCCUCGUGGCUGAGGGUAUGUACCAGUAGCUAUGUGUUUGAUCUCUCUCUCUCUCUCUCGUGUUCUCUCUAUGGCACGAUCUUGAUGUAUCGCGAGCUUUGGUAUUAUAGUUGGAUCUUAUGAUGUCUCUCCCCCUCUACUCUCUUGUGAUGAACUGAGUUUUCCUCUUGAAGUUAUCUUAUCGGAUUGAGUCUUUAAUGAUUUGAGAACACUUGAUGUAUGUCUUGCCGUGAUUAUCUGUGAUGACAAUGGGAUAUCAUGUGCCACUUGAUGUAUGUUUUGGUGAUCAACUUGCGGGUUCCGCCCAUGAACCUAUGCAUAGGGGUUGGCACACGUUUUCGUCUUGACUCUCCGGUAGAAACUUUGGGGUGCCCUUUGAAGUACUUUGUGUUGGUUGAAUAGAUGAAUCUGAGAUUGUGUGAUGCAUAUCGUAUAAUCAUGCCCACAGAUACUUGAGGUGACAAUGGAGUAUCUAGGUGACAUUAGGGUUUUGGUUGAUUUGUGUCUUAAGGUGUUAUUCUAGUAUGAACUCUAUGAUGGAUUGAGCGGAAAGAAUAGCUUUGUGUUAUUUUACUACGAACUCUUGAAUAGAUAGAACAGAAAGGAUAACUUUGAGGUGGUUUCGUACCCUACCAUAAUCUCUUCGUUCGUUCUCUGCUAUUAGUGUCUUUGGAGUGACUCUUUGUUGCAUUUUGAGGGAUUGUUAUACGAUCUAUCUAUGUUAUUAUUGUUGAGAGAACUUGCACUAGUGAAAGUAUGAACCCUAUGCCUUGUUUCCUACCAUUGCAAUACCGUUUACGCUCACUUUUAUCAUUAGUUACCUUGCUCUUUUUAUUAUUUCAGAUUACAAAAACCUAUCUCUAUCAUCUAUAUUGCACUUGUAUCACCAUCUCUUCACCGAACUAGUGCACCUAUACAAUUUACCAUUAUAUUGGGUGUGUUGGGCAUACAAGAGACUCUUUGUUAUUUGGUUGCAGGGUUGUUUGAGAGAGACCAUCUUCAUCCUAUGCCUCCCACAGAUUGAUAAACCUUAGGUCAUCCACUUGAGGGAAAUUUGCUACUGUCCUACAAACUUGUGCACUUGCAGGCCCAACAACGUCUACAAGAAGAAGGUUGUGUAGUAGACAUCAGCCCGCACGCGACCUGGAGCCAGCAAAGCGCCGGAUCUCCGGCCGGCUUCUCGUCGUCGCCACAACCAUGGGGUUGCAUGCCGUCAUCGGGCUAUGCGGACGGCAACAUACACAGUGGGUUCAACCCCAACGUCACCUUCCCUCAUGGUCGCCCGGUCUAGCGCAUGUCCUCGCCCGCGUUCGCCGGCGUGCAGUACCCUCCAUACAUGUACUCGCCGCCGGACUACGCAGGCUCCCCGAUGCCACCUCUCCGCCACAGCCAGCUGCUCUACUCACAAGCCUCCUCGUCUCAUCUUGGCAACGCCGAUGCAACGGAGGCCAACAUAGAAGACAUCAUCACAGCCGGCUCGGCUGCCGCCGCCGCUUCCCCCGGGUUCACUGCCCAAGACGACUCGAUUGAUCUCGGCGACAUGGAUGGUGCGCUCGACUACGGCGAGGAAGAGCUGGAGGAGGAGGAGGAGGAGGAGGAGCCGGCGCCUACUCCAACGAGGAAAGGCAAGAAGAAGAAACGAGCGGCCAAGACCGGCGAGCAGCGCAUCAAGUGGGCGUCCAAGGAAGACGAGUGCCUUGCCGAAGUGUGGAAAGUCGUCUGCCUCGACCUAAUCACCGGCAUGAACCAGAACAUCGACACGUAUUGGGACUGCAUCAAGGCCGAGUUCGACGAGCGCAAGCUCUUCGACCCCUACUUCAAAGGCGUCUACAUGCAGUGUGGAUCAAAGGCGAUGGCGAACCAUUGGGGACUCAUCCAAACAGCAUGAAACAAAUGGCAUGGGAUCAUCGAGGAGGUCACGGCUCAUCCGGAGAGUGGCACCAGCAUCUAGGAUCAGGUACAGCACGCCGUCCUCCCCCUAUACCUUUCGCCAUGUGUGCGCCCGCGCCGACUGAUGUUCGUUCCUCGGCACAGCUGCUGCGCAUGUUUGCAAUGUUCCAUGAUGACAAUGGCGACCAAGAGUUCAUGUACCUACACGUCUUCAAGCGGAUCAACAAGUGCGAGAAGUGGGCGGAUGUCCGGCGCACCCUCGCCAAGGCCAAGGAGACGUACAAGCCGGACGCGCCGAUCCCGGGCAUGGCCGACACGCGCCUGGAGGGCAACAAAGGGGCCAAGAAGGCGAAACACGCUGAGUUGACUGUCGCACGUGUGCAAGAGUCCAUCGAGCAUUGCCUCAUCGAUGCCAAGACCAGGGCCGCCCUGCGAGAAGAGAAAACUAAGGCGCGGUGGGCGGCUUUGAUGAUGAACAGCGCCGUCAAACUCGACUUCCUCCAGACCAACGUCGUCGCGAAGAAGAGGAACACCGACCUGGCUUUCUUGAUGGGCGGCGCUGACAUGCUCCAGAGCGGCAAUGAGCAGCUCAAGGCGUGGUACCUGGCGGAGCGCGGCCUCAUCCUGAACCAGAUACCGGAGACACCUACGCCAACUCCCACGCCGACGCCAACGCCAUAGCCCAGCCCGAGUGAUGAUGCCUACACGACGCCCAACAGCACAGAAGCCGCGCUGACGCCUCCCAGCCCGCGCACGCCAACGCUGACGCCGGAGGCCGACCCCGACGUUUGAUGCAUUCCUUGCGUGUCCUUUCUUUUUGUGCGCUGAACUUUUCAUUUGAUCGCCGAACUGUGGUGUGAUGAUCGCCGAACUGUUGCGCCUAUCGCUGGAUUAUGGCAUUUUUUUUGGAGCAGGAACUGAUCAAGUUUGAAUAUGGGGGUGUGGCUGGGGCCUUGGGGGGCAUCACCUGGGGGCGUGGCUGGGGCCUUGAUCGCCCCAGGGCCUAAAAAUCGCCGGGUGAACGCCCGAAAAUGCGCCGGCCUAUGCGCUUGGGGCCGAACGAGUGGAGAUGCUCUUACUACACGGUACUCGGUACAUGGGCCAGCGUGUUGUCUUUGUGUUUUCUGGAAUGUUUUGAUUUAGGCAGUCAUUCAGAGUCUAUGGAAUAUUUUUGAGAUCAGAGGAUCAUUUAACAAGACUCCACAUCAAUCUAGCCGCAGAGCUGGAAAAAAAACAAGUGAUCAACAUAUUUGUCUUUCCCACAGAAGACACAAUUUUUACUCCCUUGCCAACCUCUUCUAGCCAAGUUAUCCUGCCAAAAGCCAGAGAAACAUCUUGAUCUUAGCCGGGGUUUUAGUUCCACAGGAAUUUGUGUGGGAAAACAAUAUCAUUUUUAAUAAGGAAAUCAUAAAGAGAUUUCACAGAAUUUUUUUCUAUCUUUAGUUAGCAUCCACAUAGGUUGGUCUUUACCUCCAAACAUUCUAACCUCCUCGCAUCUCAGUUUUAAACUGCCACAUAGAUCAGAUAAUUCCCCUAGUAGUGUACGUCUAAAUUUAAAACCUCUCCAUCCUUUUUGGAUGGCCUCAUCCACAGAAAUGUUAUGAUCAAAACUAACAUUAUAUAAUCUGGGAUAGGCCUCUUUAAGAGGUUUAGAGCCUACCCACCAGUCUUUCCAAAACCUAGUGUUCUUGCCAUCUCCUAGUCUCCUAUUCACAUGCUGGAAAUAGAUUUUCUUCACCCCAUCAAACUUCCCCAGAAUUGUGAGUCUUCAGGUUUUUUUCUCAAUCCCAGAGAUGCAUUUUUUUUGACAUAUUUGUUUCUAAUAAUAUCAACCCACAUUCCAUUUUUAGUUUUCAAUUUCUAAAACCGUUUAGCUAAUAAAGGUUUGUUCAUUAUCUCAAGAUUCAGAAUCCCCAGCCCUCCUUGUUCUUUUGGUAGACAACAUGUCUUCCAAUUAACUAAAUGAUAUUUCCUCUUAUCUUCAUUUUCUUGCCAGACAAGUCUGGCCCUAUAAAAGUCAGCUUUUUUUUCUAGGCCCAGCUGGAAGUGGAUAGAAGGACAUCAUGAAAAGUGGAAUGUUUGUCAAACAUGCAUGUACCAAGGUCACUCUACCUGCCAUAUUAAACAGCCUCCCUUGCCAGAAAGCACAUCUCUUUUCAAUUUUUUCUAUAACUUCCUUGCAGACUUUAUUGCCCAAUCUUAUAUUGGAUACAGGUAAGCCCAUAUAUUUAAAAGGAAUUUCCCUAUUUCACAAGUGAAUAUUCUUUGGUAUUGGUCAGCUUUAUUUGCUGCUUCCCCAAACAUGAAUAAUUCACUUUUAUGAAAGUUGAUACUAAGCCCAGACAUUUGUUCAAAUGUAGUUAAAAUGAAUUUGAGAUUUUUGGCACUGUCUUCAUCAUCCUACAAUAGGAAUAUGGUGUCAUCAUCAUUUCCCAUAUCUUGUAGGACCCCUUUAACAAAACCCUUUUUCUUUUCUCUAUCCAAGAUAAUAGCUAGAGCAUCUACAGCUACAUCAAACAAUAGGGGAGAGAGAUAAUCCCCUUGUCUCAACCCUUUAUGAGUUUUGAAGUAUGGUCCAAUGGUAUCAUUCACCUUUAUAGCUACCUAACCACCUACCAUAGUAUGCAUCACCAAAUCACACCAUUUGUCAGGUAGAUUUUUAAGCUUCAUCGUUUUAUACACAAAUGGCCAUUUAAUUUUGUCAUAUGCUUUUUCAAAAUCAACUUUAAAAAGGAUGGCACUCUGUUUUUUUCAUGUAUACUGUUCAGAGCUUCAUGAAGCACCACAACCCCUUGCAUAAUGUAUCUCCCUUUGAUAAAGGAUGUCUGAGUAGGUGAGAUGAUAGGUUUAAUAACCCUACUUAGUGUAUUCAUCAACACCUUAGUAAUAAUUUUGAAGCUCAUGUUGAGUAAACAUAUUGGCCUAUAUUUUUGAAUUUGUUUGGCAUCUUUAACUUUUGGAAUCAAAGUAAUUAUCCCAUAAUCCAGUCUUUUUAUAUCUAGUGUAGUGUGCCAGAAUGAAAUUCAUCUAGCAAACUUUCGAGGUCCCAUUUGACAACCUCCCAAAAGUGUUGGUAGAAGUCAGCAGGAAGACCAUCAGGACCAGGACUUUUGUUUUUCUCCAUGCAAAGACCACAUCAUGUAGCUCUUUCAUAGAAAAAGGUUCAAUUAAUUGGGUGCUUAGAUGGACCAAAGAUGUUUUGGUCCAUCUGGAAAUGCAGAAACGAUAUGGUGUUUAGACCAAAGAAUUUGAAUGACACCAUGAUGGUUAUUAGAAAGAUGAGCAAUUGGAUUAUUGGCUGGUCUAUUUUGCAGAGAGAAAAAACCCAUAGGAAAAAAUGCUGAUGCUGGGGGCAAAAAUAAUAUAGCGGGUGGCAAGUGAAGUCUACAACACGUCGCAAGGAUGGAGGCCUGGCAUGAGAAGGCUGGGAGCUGCUAGAGAUUAGCUGUAGUUGGCAGUAGUUUGUAGUAGCUCCUGAGUUUGUCCCAUUUGUUAUGGCUUUGUUCGUCUUUGCUGUCAGCUUCUGCUUGUGGUCUUCUUUUUGCUGGCUUCAGAACUUAUGUAUGACUGGGCAGAAUUUGGCGUCUUAACUCCGCUGUGAACUAUUACUUAUGUCGUUGAUUUCGUUAAUGAAAUCGGAGGGAAACCCCCUCUUAAUAAAAAAAAAGGGCCGGCGUGUUGCUAUUGUGUAAUAGGCCGGCCCAUGCCACGCGACGUCGCUGAGCGCCCGGUCCGCCUCCGACUCGCAGGAGGCGAGAUAUAAACGUGCCCAGAUAUCCCCCGUCUCUCUGUCCGUCGCAGACUCGCAGCCGGAAAAUUCCCCCGAUAUUUCUUCCACGCUCCUCGGCGGCGAAGCUCUCCUGUCGCCAUAAAGCCAGAUACAUGGACGAACACGUCGCGCAGAGUUGCCCGCCGGCCGAGGUUGUCCGGAGCAAGGCCAAGCCUCUCGCCGGCUUGUGCUUCCCUCCCAUCAACGCCGAUCCAAUAUACGCGCGAGGAGAAGAUGGAGGCCCUCUCUCACGCCGUUCGGAGCGGGACAGAGGCCGGCAUGGAGGUGGAGCAGAUCCUCUCCCUCGCCGCUAACCACGUCAACGACAACGCCGAUCUGGCCUGCCACGCCCUCGCGCAGAGCGGGAUACCAGCCGACGCGGUCCUCUCGGCGGCCAUGAAAACAGGGCUGAAGGCCAGAGAGGAGGUCUACGCCACCCUGCUGGAGCAGCUACUCGCCUCCUUCGCCGAACCAUCGGAGGACACCCAGCUGAGGGAAUGGGGGUGGCCCCCCAAACCCCAGUACUCUUUCACCGAGAAGAGGAGCGGCCCAAGAGUAGACCCCAAGCAGCCCUUCUUCCUCAUCAGCAUGAAGGCGUCCGCCGAGACGGCGCGGAUAUCGUGGUCGAUGAAGAAGUAUCCCCGCUACCCACGGGACCGAGCGUGGCACAAUCCUCUGCGCGUCGCGCGCCUGGGCACGGGAGCCGAGGGGUUUCGUGUAGAGCAGGCAGGGCAAGGCGGGCAGCCGGGCGCCCUCUCCUCCUUCAUCGACGUCACGUACAGCGGGUGGCCGCGCCCCAAGGAGGGCAUCUUCGAGGAAGGCUCCUCCGUGCCUCUCAGGGAGGUCGCCGUCAUCAAGAGGUUGCCUGGUGGUGAUGGGAUUUCUGUCAUGUCCUAUGUUCAUGGACUUGGUGUUAAGCUUGAUGAUAUCCUCCUUGUGUUGCACGUCCCGUCUGCCGCUGUGCCCCUGAGAUUCACGGAGCAGUCCUUCUACGUCUCUGAAAACUUCGAGGAGAUUCCAAUGUAUGCCCCAACUGGUCUUGAUUUCAUAGACAUCAAUGCCCCCGUCAAGAAUCUGAUCAAGAAACUUUACCAGCUGUAUUUACAAGAGGAGCAAGAGAAAAAUAGUAAGCCUGAGAAACAAGGUCAUCGGGGAAGUGAGGAGCUGGUGUACCGGCAAGAGGAGGAGUUCAUGCUCCAAAGACAUGAGACUGAGGAGGAGAAGCUGGAGCGCCUGCGGGGGAGAAGGGAGGAGAGCAAGAAACAUAGAGAUCUACGCAAGGAAAUGAAGGAGGCGGUUCAUCGGAUCAAGGAUGCAGCAAGGACUUCAGAAGAAGAGGAGCAUCAGAAGGAGUAUGACCCAAUGCUUCUGCCCUUCCUAUUUCAGGAAGAAUGUGGUGGUCUGGUGAAACCAUUGGAAGAGCUGAGCCAAAGUGGGAAGAGACACGACGGAUCGCUUGUGGAAGUUGUGGAGCAGCAAGUUAGCUCUUAAGUUGCAGGCUUCGCAUGAUUGAUGAUUUAGUUAAGUAAAUUAUGGCUUCUAUUGUACUGCAUAGGAUUAUUGGAUGCAUUGGGGAAAUUGCAUGCUGAUUUACAUAUUAGAUACUAGUAAAAACUAUCUGGACACCCAAAUUAGAAGUUACCGUAUUUUUAUUAUAAUGUUAGACUCUGUUUGGAGCUUUUAAUGCAAAAAAAAACACAGCUUUUGAAGUUACUAAGAUUACUUUUUUUCUGCAAAAACUUGCAAAACCAUUGAGUAUUUUACACCAGCAGUAUUUAGCAGAUAACUUAGGCAUUUUAUUUAAAUUAAUAAAGUGGCCGCAUGCAUCGCCCAAAGGCCAGGGGUCCUCCUCCUUUUCUGAAAAAAAGGCAUGCUAUUUAAUGCUGAAAACAUUUAAAAAAAUGAACGAUAUGCAUGUGGAACACCAAAGUCAAAGUGUGUUGUUUGCUCAGCUUCUUAUGCAUGUUAAUACUUUGCACGUAUAGUUUGCUUAUUGAUAUGUAUCUAUACAUCUGUAAGAUGUUUUCUUUUUGUACUACUGGCACCUCCUUUUCCUGCUGGUAAAUCCCUUGUUAGCUCCUACCAUUAAAAUUAGAAUUUGUUGGCAUGUUUCACAAUCAUUUUGGAGUGCUAAACAUAUCUUGUCCUAAGCAUGGCAGAACAAUGCUUUAGUCGUGUCCAGCCUAGAUCAACCAGACGUAGAUGGAAUUUACAGGGUAACAAACAUUGUUUUCUUGGUAAAAACAGAGGCAAGGAGGUGGAUUUUAAAUACCCCAGAAAGAACCACAGAAUUGAGAAUACCAUGCCUUACAGAGUUGAAGUGUACUGUCAGACUAGUAUUUCUUGUAUCCAAACACCUAAAAUUAUUUCAAACCAUAGGUUUUCCGGGAACCAUGGUAUGUUAGAAAGCCUUGAAAAUACUUUGCAUCCUAGCAGUAAAGCAGUUGCUUAUUGUGAGCUUGUGAUCUGUGCCUUUUUAUCACUGUUUCUUGGUUGAUCCCCCCACUAGUAGAAAACACGGCAUUUGUCUCGGUUCGUAAGGGCCUUGAACCGGGACUAAAGGGUCGUUACUAAUGCCUUCCCCACUAGUAGAAAAACACCUAAUAGUCCCGGUUCGUGAGGGCCUUUAGUCCCGGUUCAUGAACCGGGACUAAUGGGCCGUUACUAAUACCUCCACCCAUUAGUCCCGGUUCAAACAAGAACCGGGACUAAUGUGCCUCCACGUGGCUCUGUGUGUCGAGCCCAGUUAGGGGCCUUUGGUCCCGGUUGGUGGAACCAACCGGGACCAAAAGUCCUUUUUUUGGAAAGUGGCUGCUUUAGGGGUUUUGGGGGUUAUUUUUAGGUUGUUAUAUUAGCUAGCUAAUAGAGAGAAGUGUCCUCCCUUAUAUCUUCGUCCUUGGUUUACCAACGCUGCUGCUAUAUAUGUUCAUUUUACCCGCUGAUAUAAUAACUCAUGCAUGCUCGCAUACAUCAGCGUAUAUAAUAACAAGUACUCGUCCUACUAAUCAUGCAUCAUCAUACAACUUCUACUCGUUAUUAAUAAUAAGUCAUACGAUCAUCAUCCUCAUAGUCAUCGAACCCAACCCUACAUAAUUGUUCUUAACACAUGAUCAUCAGUAUCAGGUAGGACCUAAACACCCUUAAGAUAAAAUAGCAUAAAACAAUAUAGACCAUGACUCUCCAUUAUGAAGAAUGGCGAUCAUCCUGUCUCCAAUUUUUGCCCUUCGUUGAAUGUUGCUUCCAAGAAGCUCCUUACGACUGUCCAUACAUUUUUUUCCAUUCUUUGAUUGUCAUGUCUCCACUUCUUUUAGAAACCCGGUAUGGACAGUUCAGAUUCGUAGGAAGACCUGGUUGUAUGUUCAAAACAUGAAGGCUACCGUGUGUAUACAUCAGAUGAGGCACACAAUCAUUCGGUAUUAUCUGUUGAAAAACAUAGGAAUAACUUCGUAGUUAGCAAUGAUAUGAUGUACUAGUUUUAGAAGUGUGUAAAAAGAUGCACGGAUGUCGUAAUAGUAAAAAAUCUUACCAGGGUAUCUCCAUGGUAGUUACCGUAGUUCAACACGUGCACUAGUGGCACGUAUUGACCAUAAUGUUGAGGAGUUCGAUUGUAGACAUUGUAAUUCUCAAGAUCAGUACAAAAUGCGACCAGAUGAUUUUUCUCCUGAUAAGUUAGUUCGGAGCCUUCGGUGUAGUAGGUUCUGUCUACCAUCUUCCGCACAUUCUUUGAAGAAUGAAAAUAAGCUGUCAAUGGAGAAUAAGUUGUCAACUAUUUUGAAAUAAACAAUAUAAAUUACUUAAUAACUAUGUUAAGCUCACAUGGGGGAAGAAUUGGAGGUGUAUCCAUAAGGACGAAAAUCGUAGGUCUCUCUUGCUCGAUUGUAGGAUCACCAAGAUCCAUGGUAACAAGCAUACCCUCAUCAAAACCAUACAUCUUGCAAAGUGCUUCCCAAUUUUUGCAACCAAAAUGGGUUACACUCUGAGCAUUGUACAGCUUUACUUGAAAAUCCACACCAUGAUGGGUACUUAGGAUAAUUUUUUUGGUUUCGAAACUUUCAUGGUCUUCAAAACCCAUCCUCUCCAAGACAUAGCGUCUUGCAAAGCAUGGGAUAAGCUAGUCGAAUUGGAAAAGAUAAAAAAUAUUGUCAUGAUUAAAAUAGUUGAAGUCAUGAGUAAUUACGAAAAAAAACUAUUAUCGUCGCUUGCAUACCGUAUGAACAUCGAAGGUCUCCUCGAGCUUAAUGCUGAAGCGACGAUCUUCGUCCAGCUCAAUGAACCUGUCGCAGAUACCUCGGUCGUCGUGGCACCAGUCGCACUCCCCCCGGCGGUUUUCGUCGUCCGAUGAGUACGAUAUUUCCGACCUACGUUCAUAAUUCAAAUAUUAAACUAGAUCAUUAUUAUUAAUCAUGGGUUGACUAUCGAUGAUCGAUGUACGUAGCUCCUCCUUUCAUUCCCGAAUGCAUUAUUAUAUCAAAUUGUCUAGCACACAGGAAUGAAGGAGAACUUAUCCAAUAUGAGCAUUCAAUAAGCAAAACCAAAUCAUAAAAUAAGCAAAACCAAAUCAUAAAUUAAAGUAUAGUAUUCAAAUUAGCAUGCAUUCAAUAAUUAUAAGCAAAAGUACAUCAUCUCUUGGUGUCCGUACAUCGUCGAAUAUUAUCACUAAUACAACUAGAACCGUAGCCCCCGACGGGUAUCGACGCGGGCGGUGGACACCCAAAGAUAAGGAACCAUCACAGGAUCAUAGCUCCAGUGAGAUCCCUGAAGAACCUGCCAGGUAUUGUCGAACCUGCCCUCCAAUGCAACCAUGUAGCGACGGACGUGCUCGUCCUCCUCGCUGACACGGUGACGUACCACCUCCGCGGUGUCCGGAUGCCUCACCACCGUCACUGGCCCAUGCGACCGCCACCAAACAAGGAUCGGGUCAACAACGGUCUGCCUCCUCACCAACCUACGUCCCCCGGAAGGUAGCACCUCCCAAUACCAGCCCGGUGGAGCCCAGUCCCGAACAUGGCCCUGACCAAGCAGGCCUCCACUGCCGAGUCGACGACGACGAGGAUGCGGGAUAGGCAUCGCCGACGUCGAUGCGGGAACUACUUCUAUAUAUAGUUAAAUAGAAGUAGUUUUAUUAAUUAAAUCAACUAUCUAGUUCAACUACUAAGCACUUACUAUAAAUAAAUAAGUAGUACUUACUAAAAACAAACUACUUCUAUAUAUAGUAAAAUAAAUUAGUUUAUUAAAUCAACUAGCUAGAUCAACUAUAUAUAAACUACUUCUUAUUUUUUUCCUUUUUCUAAAUACUAUGAACAAAAAAAUCAUUAAAAUUCUAUGAACAAAAUUAAUUACUACACAUCUAAUCUAACAAAAAAAAUCUAAUCUAACAAAAAAAUCUAUGAACUACAUAUCUAAAUUACUACACAUCUAAUCUAACAAAAAAAAUCUAAUUAAUCUAACAAAAAAAUCUAACAUAAUAUAAACAAAUUAAUUACUACACAUCUAAUCUAACAAAAAAAUCUAAUCNNNNNNNNNNNNNNNNNNNNNNNNNNNNNNNNNNNNNNNNNNNNNNNNNNNNNNNNNNNNNNNNNNNNNNNNNNNNNNNNNNNNNNNNNNNNNNNNNNNNNNNNNNNNNNNNNNNNNNNNNNNNNNNNNNNNNNNNNNNNNNNNNNNNNNNNNNNNNNNNNNNNNNNNNNNNNNNNNNNNNNNNNNNNNNNNNNNNNNNNNNNNNNNNNNNNNNNNNNNNNNNNNNNNNNNNNNNNNNNNNNNNNNNNNNNNNNNNNNNNNNNNNNNNNNNNNNNNNNNNNNNNNNNNNNNNNNNNNNNNNNNNNNNNNNNNNNNNNNNNNNNNNNNNNNNNNNNNNNNNNNNNNNNNNNNNNNNNNNNNNNNNNNNNNNNNNNNNNNNNNNNNNNNNNCGGGGCGUGGCGGAGCGUGGCGGCGACGGCGUCGGGGCGGGGCGGCGACGGCGAGGUGGCGGCAGGGAGACGCGCGGCGACGGGAGUGGAGCAGGAGAGAUCGUAGUCACGCUAAAUGCUGUAUAUAUAGCAAAGGCUUUGGUCCCGGUUCGUGGCACCAACCGGGACGAAUGCCCCCAUUAGUCCCGGUUGGUGCCACCAACCAGGACCAAAGGCCUCUUUUCAGCAGCCCAAAGGGCGGGAAACGAAGACCUUUGGUCCCGGUUGGUGGCUCCAACCGGGACUAAAGAGCGGCAUUCAUCCCGGUUGAUUCCACCAACCGGGACCAAAAAGCGGCAUUGGUACCGGUUGAUGCCACCAACUGGUACCAAUGGACCCGUCUAACUACUUUUUUAUUUUCUGCAGCUGUUUUUUUGUUGAUUCUUCCUACAGCUGUUUUUUAGUCCCACCUCGUCAAGCGAGAGGCACUCGCAGCUGUUUAUAAGCCCUGAGUGCAGAGACGAUGACGAAGAGGCUAAAUGCUCCUGCACGUUGGUUAGCUUCAAGCCUUGAGGAAUACGGUAGACUGCACAGAGCUAUGUGCAGUGCAGUUGACACUAUUCCGAAAGGCUUGAAGCAAAUUAACAAGCAUUGCGCCUCUUUUUUAUUUUUAAUGACUUAUUACAACUCAGAAAUAAAAAUAAAAAAAUAAAUAUAGCAGAAAAGAAAAAAAAACUAUAUAGAAAACUACUCAGAAAUGAAUUGAAGCAAAAAAUAGUUGUGAUUAACUAUACUAAAAAAGGAGCAUAGANNNNNNNNNNNNNNNNNNNNNNNNNNNNNNNNNNNNNNNNNNNNNNNNNNNNNNNNNNNNNNNNNNNNNNNNNNNNNNNNNNNNNNNNNNNNNNNNNNNNNNNNNNNNNNNNNNNNNNNNNNNNNNNNNNNNNNNNNNNNNNNNNNNNNNNNNNNNNNNNNNNNNNNNNNNNNNNNNNNNNNNNNNNNNNNNNNNNNNNNNNNNNNNNNNNNNNNNNNNNNNNNNNNNNNNNNNNNNNNNNNNNNNNNNNNNNNNNNNNNNNNNNNNNNNNNNNNNNNNNNNNNNNNNNNNNNNNNNNNNNNNNNNNNNNNNNNNNNNNNNNNNNNNNNNNNNNNNNNNNNNNNNNNNNNNNNNNNNNNNNNNNNNNNNNNNNNNNNNNNNNNNNNNNNNNNNNNNNNNNNNNNNNNNNNNNNNNNNAGUUGUGAUUAACUGUACUAAAAAAAGAGCAUAGAUGCUUAUUUUUAAUGACUUAUUACAACUCAGUAAUAAAAAGAAGAAAAAAUAGUUGUGAUUAACUUUACUAAAAUAUGAGCAUAUAUGCUUAUUUUUAAUGACUUAUUACAAUUCAAAAAUAAAUAGAAGAAAAAAUAGUUAUGAUUAACUUUACUAAAAAAUGAGCAUAGAUGCUUAUUUUUAAUGACUUAUUACAACUCAGAAAUAAAAAGAAAAAAAUAAAUAUAGCAGAAAAGAAAAAAAAACUAUAUAAAAAGCUACUCAGAAAUGAGCAUAGAUGCGCUUAUAGAGGAAAUUCAAAUUAAAUUCAUANNNNNNNNNNNNNNNNNNNNNNNNNNNNNNNNNNNNNNNNNNNNNNNNNNNNNNNNNNNNNNNNNNNNNNNNNNNNNNNNNNNNNNNNNNNNNNNNNNNNNNNNNNNNNNNNNNNNNNNNNNNNNNNNNNNNNNNNNNNNNNNNNNNNNNNNNNNNNNNNNNNNNNNNNNNNNNNNNNNNNNNNNNNNNNNNNNNNNNNNNNNNNNNNNNNNNNNNNNNNNNNNNNNNNNNNNNNNNNNNNNNNNNNNNNNNNNNNNNNNNNNNNNNNNNNNNNNNNNNNNNNNNNNNNNNNNNNNNNNNNNNNNNNNNNNNNNNNNNNNNNNNNNNNNNNNNNNNNNNNNNNNNNNNNNNNNNNNNNNNNNNNNNNNNNNNNNNNNNNNNNNNNNNNNNNNNNNNNNNNNNNNNNNNNNNNNNNNNNNNNNNNNNNNNNNNNNNNNNNNNNNNNNNNNNNNNNNNNNNNNNNNNNNNNNNNNNNNNNNNNNNNNNNNNNNNNNNNNNNNNNNNNNNNNNNNNNNNNNNNNNNNNNNNNNNNNNNNNNNNNNNNNNNNNNNNNNNNNNNNNNNNNNNNNNNNNNNNNNNNNNNNNNNNNNNNNNNNNNNNNNNNNNNNNNNNNAAAUGAAUUGAAGCAAAAAAUAGUUGUGAUUAACUGUACUAAAAAAGGAGCAUAAAUGCUUAUUUUUAAUAACUUAUUACAACUCAGAAAUAAAAAGAAGAAAAAUAGUUGUGAUUAACUUUACUAAAAUAUGAGCAUAGAUGCUUAUUUUUAAUGACUUAUUACAAUUCAAAAAUAAAUAGAAGAAAAAAUAGUUAUGAUUAACUUUACUAAAAAUGAGCAUAGAUGCUUAUUUUUAAUGACUUAUUACAACUCAGAAAUAAAAAGAAAAAAAUAAAUAUAGCAGAAAAGAAAAAAACUAUAUAAAAAGCUACUCAGAAAUGAGCAUAGAUGCGGUUAUAGAGGAAAUUCAAAUUAAAUUCAUAACAAAUUUCAAGAGAAAUUCGUAUGAAUUUAGGCUAAAUUCCCUAUAUAAGGGCAUCUAUUUUCAUUUUCAGAGGAGCUCAAUAAGGCAGAGAGGGAGGGGCUUAUAAACCGGUCUGAUUCCCCUUCGGUUGGCGAGGUGGGACUAAACUUUGGCCGCAACGAGGACCAACCCUUUAGUCCCGGUUGGUGGAAUGGACCGGGACUAAUGGUCGUCCUUUGGUCCCGGUUCAGGCCACCAACCGGGACCAAUGGUGGUGGGCCAGGAGCGAGGGUCAUUGGUCCCGAUUCGUCCCACCAACCAGGACCAAUAGGUCCAGACGAAUCGGGACCAAUGGCCCACGUGGCCCGGCCGGCCCCUGGGGCUCACCAACCGAGUCCAAUGUCCCCAUUGGUCCUGGUUCUGGAUUGAACCGGGAUUAAUGGGCUGGACCAGCCUGGACCAUUGGCCCCUUUUCUACUAAUGCCCCCCUUUAGUCCCGGUUCUAACACGAACCGGGACAGAUGGUCCUCCACGUGGCCGGUGCGCCGAGCCCAGGUAGGGGGGCCUUUGGUCCCAGUUGGUGGCACUAACCGGGACCAAAAAGCGAUGUUUUUCUUUUUUUAAGAAAAAGUGGCUGCUUUAGGGGUUUUGGGGGUUAUUUUUAGGUUGUUAUUAGCUAGCUAAUAGAGAGAAGUGUCAUCUCUUAUAUCUUCGUCCUUGGUUUACCAACGUUGCUGCUAUGUUCAUUUCACCCGCUGAUAUAAUAACUCAUGCAUGCUCGCAUCAUACAUCAUCAUAUAUAAUAAAAGUCCUACUAAUCAUGCAUCAUCAUACAACUUCUACUCGUUAUUAAUAAUAAGUCAUACGAUCAUCAUCCUCAUAGUCAUCGAACCCAACCCUAUAUAAUUGUUCUUAGCACAUGAUCAUCAGUAUCAGGUAGGACCUAAACACCCUUAAGGUAAAGUAGCAUAAAAUAAUAUAGACCCUGACUCUCCAUUAUGAAGAAUGGAGAUCAUCCUGUCUCCAAUUCUUGCGAUUCGCUGCCUUUUGCUUCCAAGAAGCUCCUUACGAUUGUCCAUACAUUUUUUCCAUUCUUUGAUUGUCAUGUCUCCACUUCUUUUAGAAACCCGGUAUGGACAGUUCAGAUUCGUAGGAAGACCUGGUUGUAUGUUCAAAACAUGAAGGCUACUAUGCGUAUACAUCAGAUGAGGCACACAAUCAUUCGGGAUUAUCUGUUGAAAAACAUAGUAAUAACUUUGUAGUUAGCAAUGAUAUACUAGUUUUAGAAGUGUGCAAAAAGAUGCGCGGAUGUCGUAAUAGUAAAAAAUCUUACCAGGGUAUCUCCAUGGUAGUUACUGUAGUUCAACAUGUGCACUAGUGGCACGUAUUGACCAUAAUGUUGAGGAGUUCGAUUAUAGACAUUGUAAUUCUCAAGAUCAAUACAAAAUGCGAUCAGAUGAUUUUUCUCCAUAUAAGUUAAUUCGGAGCCAUCGGUGUAGUGGGUUUUGUCUACCAUCUUCCGCACAUUCUUUGAAGAAUAAAAAUAAGUUGUCAAUGGGAAUAAGAUGUCAACUAUUUUGAAAUAAACAAUAUAAAUUACUUAAUAACUAUGUUAAGCUCACAUGGGGGGAGAAUUGGAGGUGUAUCCACAAGGACCCAAAUCGAAGGUCUGUCUUGCUCGAUUGUAGGAUCACCAAGAUCCAUGGUGACAAGCAUUCCCUCAUCAAAACCAUAUAUCUUGUAAAGUGCUUCCCAAUUUUUGCAACCAAAAUGGGUUACACUCUCAGCAUUGUACAACUUUACUUGAAAAUCCACACCAUGAUGGGUCCUUCAGAGAAUUUUUUUUGGUUUCCAUACUUUCAUGGUCUUCAAAACCCAUCCUCUCCAAGACAUAGCGUCUUGCAUAGCAUGGGAUAAGCUAGUCGAAUUGGAAAAGAUGAAAAAUACACGUUAAAAUAGUUGAAGUCGUGCUUAAUUAUGAAAAAAAUAUUGUCGUCGUUGCGUACCGUAUGAACAUCGAAGGUCUCCUCGAGCUUAAUGCUGAAGCGUCGAUCUUCGUCCAGCUCAAUGAACCUGUCGCACAUACCUCGGUCGUCAUGGCACCAGUCGCACUCGCCCGGACGGUUUUCGUCGUCCGAGUAUGACAUUUCCGUCCUACGUUCAUAAUUCAAAUAUUAAACUAGAUCAUUAUUAUUAAUCACAGGUUGACUAUCGGUGAUGGUACGUAGCUCCUCCUUUCGUUCUCGAGUGCAUUAUUACACCAAAUUGUCUAGCAUACGGGAAUGAAGGAGAACUUUUCCAAUAUGAGCAUUCAAUAAGCAAAACCAAAUAAUAAAAUAAGCAAAACCAAAUCAUAAAAUAAAGUAGUAUUCAAAUUAGCAUGCAUUCAAUUAUAAGUAAAAGUACAUCAUCUCUUGGUGUCUAUACAUCGUCGAAUAUUAUCACUAAUAUAGCAUCACUAAUACAACUAGAACCGUAGCGCACGACGGGUAUCGUCACGGGCGGUGGACACCCAAAGAUAAGGAACCAUCACAGGAUCAUAGCUCCAGUGAGAUUCCUGAAGAAUCAGCCAUGUAUUGUCGAACCUGCCCUCCAAUGCAACCAUGUAGCGAUGGACGUGCCCGUCCUCCUCGCUGACACGGUGACGUACCACCUCCGCGGUGUCCGGAAGCCUCGGCACCAUCACUGGCCCACGCGACCGCCACCGAACAAGGAUCAGGUCAAUAACGGGCUGCCUCCUCACCAACCUACGUCCCCCAGAAGGUAGCACCUCCCAAUACCAGCCCGGCGGAGCCCAGUCCCGAAAUGGCCCUGAUCAAGCAGGCCUCCACCGCCGAGUCGACGAUGACGAGGAUGCAGGAUAGGCAUCACCGACGUCGAUGCGGGAACUACUUCUAUAUAUAGUUAAAUAAAGUAGUUUUAUUAAUUAAAUCAACUAGUUCAACUACUAAGCACUUACUAUAAAUAAAUAAAGUAGUACUUACUAAAAUCAAACUACUUCUAUAUAUAGUAAAAUAAAGUAGUUUAUUAAAUCAACUAGCUAGUUCAACUAUAUAUGAAGCACUUACUAUAAAUAAAAUAAAUUAGUACUUACUAAAAAUAAACUAGUUUAACUAUAGUUCUAUUAUUUUUCUAACUAAUUAUAUUAAACACUUUCUCUUCUUAAUUUUUUCAUUUUCCCUCUAUUUUAAAUAUGAACAUAUUCAUAAAUGACUUAUAUCAUUCACAAUUUUCCUAUACAUACACAAUAAGUUGACAAAGAAAAUACUAUGAACAAAAAAAUCAUUAAAAUUCUAUGAACAAAAUUACAACAGAAAAAAAUCAUAAAAAUUCUAUGAACAGAAAAAAAUCAUAAAAAUUUGACAUAUUCGAUCUUUGCAUAUAUAUGAACCGGGACCAAAAGGUCCAGACNNNNNNNNNNNNNNNNNNNNNNNNNNNNNNNNNNNNNNNNNNNNNNNNNNNNNNNNNNNNNNNNNNNNNNNNNNNNNNNNNNNNNNNNNNNNNNNNNNNNNNNNNNNNNNNNNNNNNNNNNNNNNNNNNNNNNNNNNNNNNNNNNNNNNNNNNNNNNNNNNNNNNNNNNNNNNNNNNNNNNNNNNNNNNNNNNNNNNNNNNNNNNNNNNNNNNNNNNNNNNNNNNNNNNNNNNNNNNNNNNNNNNNNNNNNNNNNNNNNNNNNNNNNNNNNNNNNNNNNNNNNNNNNNNNNNNNNNNNNNNNNNNNNNNNNNNNNNNNNNNNNNNNNNNNNNNNNNNNNNNNNNNNNNNNNNNNNNNNNNNNNNNNCGAGUUACAUUUAAACCCUGGGUUGUAAGUUGUAAGUCAUUCAAAUGUGAUUGAUUUUGUGGGCAGAUAUGAUCUCCCGGACCUCGAGGGAGGUGGAAGUGAGGCCAAGGGGGUGUGGGAACCAUCGCCCGCUUUGGUAUAUUGAUCAUAAAGGUGCAUUGUUAUUCUCACUCUAACUUGAUUUAAAGUUAGUCCUUACAUAAGUUUAAUAACUUACUAUUUUAGUCGUUGGGGCUUAUCCACUGCCCUAUCUAUUGUUUUCCCACUUGAGAGUGAAUUUAUAUUUACUAUAUGCAGUGUUAAAGAUAUUUGUUUGCAAUCAAUGAAUCUCAUGCUAAACAUUAGUAAUUACACCAAGUUGACAUUGUAAUAUAUGUUGUAUUGUGGAUUUAUAGUUAUUUCGGAGUACACUCGUACUAAAUCGUCAAUGCUGUGAAAAUCAUUGCAUGUCGUGUGUGUUAUGAUUUGGCCAAUUUUACAUUGAGUCUGUUUGACCUAUAAGCUAUAUCAGUACACCAUGAUACAAGCAUUGCUAAAUCUGUUUCAUGAAAGAAUUUUGUUUCAUUUCUUAAUUGUCUGUUGAAUUUUGGAAUUUUGGUUCGUUUCUUUUGGGUUUUCGUGUUUACAAUGAUUUUUUUUGGAAUGCCAACAUUUUGCCGCUGCCGUUAGGGUGUGUUGGAGCUGCAUUUUCCCUGUUGAUUUUUCAGUAAUCAUCAUUGUCAUCAUUUUGCUUAUGCUGUUUUGAUUUUGUUUCCCCAGGGAGCACAGUCAAUGUAUGGGAUCUCAUCCUCUGGCUAUGGACAAUGCUUGUUGACUCGGCCUUGCAUUUCAUUCCAACUUAAUGCCCUUACUUCCAGGGACCAUAGUGAUUUCUGAUGUUUGUUGGUUGGUCACCCUCGUGAGGUUCCUAGCGUGACGUUUCCAUGAUGCUUUCCGCGUUGGAACAACCUGUUGGCAAUCUAUCUAGAGGUUAGUUGAGCUGAUACGUUGAAUUAAACACUUUGACAGCAGAGUAAGAGGAUAUGAUUCUGUUGGUGUAGUAGUAAUGCUUUAGCACUCUAUAUGCUCAGCUUUCUUUUCUUUUCUUUGAGAAACUUCUAUAUGCUCAACUUGUGCUUCCUCCCCUGGAGAACGUAUCUGGUGCACCGGACGCAUUAGCACAUUUUAAAAUGUUUCAAAAAUCAAAAAAAAAUCUAACAUGUUGGCAUAACAUCAAUAUAUGUUUUCGCAAAAUUUCGUAUCAAAAUUCAAAAAAAUGCUCAAGAUACAAAUAUGAUGAAUUUGAUAUUAGUGUGAUAAUGGGCCAAAUCUAAAACCCAACUUGUGUUAUAUACUAUUCAGUGUCGAAGAAUUUGUCAUGUUUAUAUCUCAAGCUAUGUUUUGAAUAUGACAACAUACAUUAAUGUUAUGGUGAUGUGCUAGAUUUUUUUUCCAAUUUUUUAAAAACAUUUGAAAAUGUCCUAAGAAAGUUUGGUGCAUCAGUAGCACCAAAUGGCCCGGUGCACCAGAUACGUUCUCUCCUUCCCUGCCCAUAAGGCCAGAAUGAUGUUGUAAAGCUAAUCCCUGCCCACUCGGCCGUCGAGGCACUAGUAGAAAACAGGGCUUUCGUCCUAGCCGGAAAGGAUCAAUAGUCCCGGUCGCAUUACGAACCGUGACUAAUGUGAGCAUCAGUCCCGUUUCGAGCGGCUAGGACGCCUGACGGGGCUAGGCUAGUUUUAGUCCCAGGUCAAACGCGACCUUUAGUCUCGGUUAGAGACACAAACCACCUUUAGUCCCGGCUGGAGACACAAACCGAGACUAAAGGUGUUUUAAAAUUUUCUUUUGUGUUUUUCCAUUUGUUUUCUGUUUUAAAUUGCUUAUAUCUUUUAGGAUAUUUGAUGUUUUCGAGUGAUUCUUUUUGCGUUAGAUUCAAAAUUUUGUCUAGCUUCUGUUUGUGCCACUAGUUUUCAACUUUUAAUGAUUUAAAUUUGAAUUUGUUUAAAUUUGCUUCAAACCAUAGAUUGUGAAUAACUUGAGUUUAAAAAUAGUUUUAAAUGAAUAUUUUCCCUCCUAGUCACAUGUUAGGUUGUUGUCACGGUAAGAUUUAUAUGGUUAUUUUAAGAAUAAUUUAAAUUAGGAUUUUAAUUUACAUAAUAUUGUUUUGCUUAUAUAGUUGUUUUAGUCAUUUAAUUGUUGUUCUUAAUUAUUUUUAGUUAGUUCUUUCUGUAGAUUUUAACAUGUUGUAGUAUGCUUUUGUUAGACAAUAGUAAAACAAAUUUUAUAAUUAAUUAAUAUUAAUUUUGCUAUUGUUUUGUAUUAUUAGUUGUUUAGCCUUUAAUUAUAGUUGAUAGAAUUAGUUUUGCUAUAUUAAAAAGUACAAUAAUUCUUUUUGCCACUUUAAUAUAAUUAAUUAGUUUCUGUUGUUUGACAAUAAUUUAGUUUUUGUAAUUAGUUAAUAUUGCUUUAUUGCUAUGUUAGUUUUAAUUUCUUAUGAUUAUAACUAGAUUAUUAUAAUAGUUUUUAAUUAGUUCUUUUUGCUAGUUAUUAAUUUAGCAAAAUGCAAUGUUUGAUUAAUAUAGAUUUCAUUGGAGAGUGAUGAAUAGUUCUAUCAAGGAUUUCAUCGGUAGGAUUGGAUGGACACCAACCCGUACUAAAGGGGUUCUAAAGAAGCAAUUGAUUUCAGCAUAUGAGAAAUAAUUUUAAAAAUUAUAUUUAUUUAAAAAAUAAAUGAUGUCAUAUUUGGAUUCCUCACAUAUUUAUGAUAAUAAUGGAUAUAUUAUUUGUCGAAUCGAUUCACAAAUUUGAAGAUAUUAAUUAUGCCAUAUUAAAUGAAUAAAUGAUAAAAAAUGAAUAAAAUAAUAUUAUUACUUAUUUUAUUUUCAUUGAAAUUCAAUAUUAUUAUUACUUAUUUUAUUUUAAUAAUUAUUUGGAAUUCAAAAAAAUUAAAUCAUGUGACAUCAAGACCUAAGGGUUAAUAUGAUUGUUAGCUUACUAUUGUCAGGAAAAUAAAAAGUACAGACUUGAAAUUUAGGGGAAAUAGAGCUGGGAAGUUAAGCGUACUUUGACUGGAGUAGUGAGAGGAUGGGUGACCGUCCGCGUAGUUAGAAGAUUUGGAAUGAGUGCUCCACGCUUGAGCAGUGAGGAGGAGUGAUUAGAGAUUAAAUUGUCAGAUAAUUCAAAAUUUUAAAAAACAAAAAAACUUAAAAAAACAAAAAAUUCAAAAAAAACGAAAAAAUUCCUUUAGUCACGGUUAGUACACCAAUCGGGACUAAAGGUCCUCCAGCCCCGCCCUAGACAGCUGCCACAUGGAACACUUUUAGUCCUGGUUCAUAACACAACCGAGACUAAAAGUGGUGGCCUUUAGUCCUGAUUGCUUAGUCCCGGUUGCGACUAAAGGCCCGUUUUCUACUAGUGAGGGUUGUGCCCGUGUGGCCUUCAUUUUCUUUUCUCAAACCCAAUUUCAUCCGCUCAAAACACAAAACAAAAAAACAAAAGCUUGUUACUGAGAAAUUGUAGGCAUGUAUUGCCACAGUUCUAAGUCUUUUCAGACAUACAAAGCAAAAUGGGUAAAUCUAUAUUUUAAACUAUGUCUAUACACAUCCAUAUGUAGUUUAUAUUGAAAUCUUUAAAAAGACUUAUAUUUAAGAACGAAGGGACUAGAUUCCAUUCUAUGUGGACGUGAAAGCGUCAAUGUUACCAUUGAGAAAGAAGGCGCCAAAGCAUGAAGAACCGAAAGUUGACGUCUGCCGUUUACCCGUUUCGUCGCGCCCUGCGUGAACUCCGAGACCCGGGCGUACCAGCGCAAGCCGGCUAUCAUCAUGCGUGGUAACGGACAGGCCAUGUUCCUACUGCUGGCCGGGGCUCCACAUUCGGGCAGGCACUCCCGUCGUGCAGAAAAAUAAGUUCGGCGCAUGGCACGGCAGCGCUGCUGACCAUCAUAUGCCCACAGUGCCAUGCUACCGAUUGAUCAGCCCAGGCGCCCGGUUAUGUGCUCUGCUUUGCUUUCGGACGUGUAGGGUGCGUUUGGUUGAAGGUGUCAUAUGAAUGGGUUGGGACCGUCCAAUUUAUUUGGGAUUGAACCAUUCAAUUCAUGCGUUUGGCUGAAUAUAAGAGAUGAGCUAAUUAUUUAGGACGGGACCACCAGUCAUGCAUGCAAAGGGUGGUCAUUUGAUUCGACCGAUUUGGUUGACUGGAACGGUUCAGGAUCUUCAAGGCAUAUUCUCUUUUUUUUGACUUGAACCAUUCAUGUGCUUUAUAACCAAACAUGUAUAUUUUUGAACGAUCCCAACCCAUUCAUGACCACCCUUGCAACCAAACACACCCUAAACCACUCGUCGCUGUAUCGAUCGGUGCAAAAAAAGAGGUGGCAAAAGAGAAAGCGGCGCUCGCACGAGAUAAUAAAGGAAAACAUUCUAAAUCUUUUUUUUUUGCGGAAAGGAAAACGUUCUAAAUAACCGGUUGAUUUCGCCAUCCCGCAAACCGCCUCGCGCUCCCACCACCUGUCCCUCCGUGGCCCACAUACCGCUCCCUCUCUUCCCACCUUAGGGCAUGUACAAUGAUGUUAUCUUAAAAGUGCCACAUAGGAUAAAUGAUGAGGUGGAAGAGAAAAAACUCAUAAGGAAAAUCUUGUCUUCUCUUAUUUAAGAGAAGACAAGAGAUGAUCUCUUGGCACAAUAUGUCUCAUCAUAUUUUUAGGAAUGCCUAGUUAUUGAAGAUAAGACUAAGAGAUGACCCAUUAUGGACUUCUUUUUUUGUCAUUUCUAAAUUACAUGCAAGACUUAAGAUAAAACUACCUUAUCAAUCAUUGUACAUGCCCUUAUCUCUUCCAUAGCCGCACUCUUCCUCGCUUGCUCCCUCUCCUGCAUCUCAUUCCCUCCGCCCACGAAGCAGCCGCCAGCGCCGCCGCAAUCCGCUGUCGUGCCGCAGCAGCCGUCACCGUCGACGCUGCAUCGCCGCACCCCGCCAUAGCCGACGGCUCUACACUGCAGCAUCCCCGCGCUGCAUCGCAGCUUGCCGUUGUCCUCGCGCAGCUUUCGCCGUGGGCGCAUGCUGCGUCACCGCACCCGUCGUCAGCAACGCUGCAUCGCGGCAUCUGUAAUGGACACCGGUUCUGCAUCGUAGCAUCCCGCACGGCAUCACAACUUUCGCCGUCAUCAUCGCGCGCUACGUUGCAGCUUCCGCUAUGUCUGUCGCGCUACAUCGAAGCACCCAUCGACGGCAAAUGCUUCAUCGCAGCAUCCGCCAUGCCUACCACCACUGCAUCUCAGCUUUCGCCGUCGUCACCGUGCACUAUGCCGCAACUUCGGCCAUGGUCGCAGCACCUGUCUCCGUCGAUGGAGCUUUGUUGGGGGCCAUCGAUGUUGCGAUGAAGCUCCGUCGAGGUCAUCCAAUGCUGCAAUGGAGCUUCACCGAAGGGCUACCAGUGAUGCAAUGGAGCAUCACUAGUGGCCUCCGGGAUUGCCAUGAAGCAGCAUCGAAGUGGCCUGUCUUUCAAUGGAGCAUCGGCGGUGGCGUCGAGAGCUGCGAUGGAGCGCCACCGCGUCGAUGUUGUCGCUGAGUGAAGCAACACCGAUCGCUCCUCGGGAUCCGAUGCAGCUCUCGUCAGCAGCUUCAGGUGAUGCGAGACCGAAGGAGAGAAGGAGGGCUGAUGUGCGAUGCGGGGAGGAGAUCGUGCGUGCGUUGACUAUUCAAACUGAUGGUGGGGAAGGAUCCGACGGUGUAGUGGGGCUGAUCAAACAGUCAACGAGGCGGUUUAAAUCUUCAUAACAUCAGCCGGUUGAUUUGUAGCACUGGCCGGUGAUAAAACCAGGCCGGUGCUCCUGGCCGAACCAAAGCAUGCCGGUUCUCAAUCGUCCCUGUCGUCCUUGGUUCGAGGCUAUUGCUGGCGCAGCUGCAUGGCCGGAAGUAAUUAACAGCAAGUUCUCGUGAAGAGUCUUGGGAUGAUUAGUCUAUCCGCCGGGAUCGUCGUGGUACGAUCGUGUACCAGCCGCGUGCAAGAGUGUGUGUGGGUGGGUGCGACACGAACGUGCCAUUCCCCCGGUGCUCCUCCGUUCGAGCCCGCAUCACAUGGCCCCUGACACUGCCGGACUCACGUGGCCGGUGGGACAAACCCGGCCUAUCGCCUCACUUCAUAGCUGGGCCGUGGGUGCACGUGAAGAUGCGGAUAGAAUAUAUGGCCCGUGUAGGGUACCUAUACUACUCCAAAAUUGUGAUAUUAAGUAUUCCUCCCAUCCCAAAAAUAAGUAAUAUAAAAUCUAUAUCUAUAUCUAUAUCUAUAUCUAUAUCUAUAUCUAUAUCUAUAUCUAUAUCUAUACCUCUAUAUCUAUAUCUAUAUCUAUAUCUAUAUCUAUAUCUAUACCCCUACUAAUAAAGCAAGGUGAUAUUCUUAGUUUCGUCCCGCGAUUAGAUGAUUUUUUUGAGUUUUUUUUAUCUGGCGAGGUGGUACUAUUCACAUGAAAGUUUUGAUCGUCGUUUCGUGCAUAGAGGAAGCGUAGUCCAAAGGCCGAUACGUCUCAACCGGGUGGGCCUCGACCUUCCUCUAAUGGGCUGGCUCCCUUGACGAAAAAAGUGUAAAAUACAUGUUCCAAUUAUGAAUCGAACUCCCAACCUCUGAUUUGGUUCACGUAGUUGGUAGCCAACCGAUAUAUAUUCAGCCUAUGCUAAAGACGUGAUUUGAUAUUUAUUAGUCCAACCUCGCUCUUUUAAAUCAAAUCCCAUCAUUUUAGAUACGCACGUGAGUUGUAUUAAAAUCAACCAGCCAAGAGAGAUCCAUUAAAUCCAAGUCAAAAAGAAAGAAAGAGACCACAUAAAGGCAAGGAGUGGGGGGACGAACAUGCUGAUCAGUAUGCCCGUGAUCGAGUGAUGGCCUGCAGGAGAGGCCGGAGUUCAUGGGGUCGUCGCUGCAGUACUUGCAUAAAUUCGUGAACAAAUAUCUGCAUGCAACGUACGUGAAGAUAAACAUGCAUGCUAGGCAGCAGGGCCACUAUUAGCCGGUGGCAUUGACCACUUUUGGCUGCGCUAUUCUAAUUUAACAUGAACACAUGACAUCAAUGGUCUUAGAUACAACUUCUAAUCUCCCUCAAGAGAAAAGGUAGAUACAAGUUCUAAUAUAAUCAUCUGGGACCUACUGCUCCAAUCAGUUUUCUCCUCCACCGGAUUUUCUUUUAAGUUUACCCAUGAAUUCUUAAUUAGAAAACGAUAGAUCAUGCUGAGAUGCCCUUUUAGUUUGCAUAAAAUACCUCUAUUUAAUAUAUUUUUCAUUUGAGAUUUUCAUGAGUUAUAGGUAACAAUGCUUCAUCGUUUGGAUAGAGAUUUAGCUACAUAUGAUCAUGUCAUGUGGCAUCAUGAGCAUUCGUUUAUCCAAAAAUCCAAAGGUACCAAUGUGCAUUCUCUAUAAAGAAUUGUCAGAUCUCUCUUCUCCGUGUGCGUAUAUAUAAAAGAAGCGGCUAUUUAUUUUUUGGAUAUUGUGUUAUUGCACGGAAAAAAUUAGCUAUUAUGCACAAUUUGUUUAUCUAGAUAAUAUGGUAUUGUGGAUUGUGGAUUGUGCUUCUUUUACUUAAAUGUUGUAGUUAAAACAAGUAAAUGUCUAACCAUUUUCCCAUAACAAAGCAGCCCUAGCGGCGGAAUCGAAAACUUGUGGCCGUGUGAGCAUCGAAGGCGGUGGGCAUGGAAGCUUUCGGUAGAAGAUUUUAAGCACUAUCAAGCAGCUAGCCCUUGAACCAACAAACUAAAUGACAUAGUUCCUCUCCCUGGCCAACCUUGAUUGAUAAAAAUCAUUGUGUUUCCCCGUUGCAACGCACGGGCAUUUGUGCUAGUUAGUGUAAAGUUAAGUCGCUUAUUUUGGGACAGAGGGAGUACUAUAUAUCAGGCCCGUAGUACCUACUAUCGAAUUCCAAAAAUUUCAACAUAAAAAAAAGUUCCAAAUCUUCUUCAUUAUUUCACACCGAGAAAUAGGUAAAUAAUUGUGAACAUUUGUAUCUCAACUUUGCGCCUUUAAAAUAUUUUUUGCUAUAAAAAGUACAUUUUAAAACAUGCACACAUGAAUUCCACAUUUGCAAUUGGCCAUUACAAGAGACGGAGCACGUGAGGUGGCACAAUGUCGGCUAACUAAAAGUGCAAACUGGCGAGCUCCUCUCUCUCUAUCUCUCUCCGUCUUAUUUUUGAAAAGACACAUAUAAUUACUAAGAAUUCAUCGGAAGUAUAAAGCACCUCAAACAAAAAAAAAUUACAUUGAGGUCCAUGGGCCGUCGGACGACCACUACCGCAGCCAGGAAGAAGAGAUAGUAGGAAUAUAUGCUCNNNNNNNNNNNNNNNNNNNNNNNNNNNNNNNNNNNNNNNNNNNNNNNNNNNNNNNNNNNNNNNNNNNNNNNNNNNNNNNNNNNNNNNNNNNNNNNNNNNNNNNNNNNNNNNNNNNNNNNNNNNNNNNNNNNNNNNNNNNNNNNNNNNNNNNNNNNNNNNNNNNNNNNNNNNNNNNNNNNNNNNNNNNNNNNNNNNNNNNNNNNNNNNNNNNNNNNNNNNNNNNNNNNNNNNNNNNNNNNNNNNNNNNNNNNNNNNNNNNNNNNNNNNNNNNNNNNNNNNNNNNNNNNNNNNNNNNNNNNNNNNNNNNNNNNNNNNNNNNNNNNNNNNNNNNNNNNNNNNNNNNNNNNNNNNNNNNNNGGCUGUCAAAGGGGACGUUAAUCCAUAGAUGGGCCGGUGGAGCUUGGAGGGGAGGAGAACUUUGCCAUAGGUGCUUAGCCUGGUUCUAAUAUAUUAACAUUUUUUUGCAAAAAUAAUGUGAUUUUAAAUUUUAGAUUAUUUAAUUGAAGUAAAAGAGCCGGUCAGAGGGUGCCCUUAGGCCAGAUCACCAAUUUGCACCCGGCUAACCCCAACAAAAGUUAGAAAACUCUUCGCUAUUCUCAGUACCAGCUAAUGUUUUAUUGUAGGAAGAUGCUCGACUGUAAAAAAACAUAUAGAUAACCCAAUAUGUUUUUUGUUAUAGCUAUUCGUCCAUAAAAUGUUGAUGAUCUUGGCGGGGUUGAUGGAAUGAAGUAUGGACCACCUAAACCGUAGCACACAAGAGCAAGCAAUAAGCAUCAAACGAAGCAACAUCGUUUUAUUUGCCACUCUCAGCAUCUCCAACUAACUAUUGUAUUCUUGCGUUAUAUUCUUUUACAUUGCAAUUUUACUAUGUGUAUAGUGUUGAUUGGUAGGGUUCUAUGUCUUCUCAUUCUUCUUUGUUCGAAGUGGCUGACCACUCUUUAUGAGGAGUGUGUUCUUUAUUGUCUCAAAGAAUCCUUGGAUUUGUAAAAAAAAACAUCGCGUUUCUUUUGUUUCACACCUUAUAAUUUUCUUUCUAGUCUAUUCUAGAAAUAGAACUUUGCGUCGCUUUAUAAAUAAAGCACCAACUGAAGUCCAUGCAAUAAGUCAUCUAGCAGUGAGGAGAAAGAAAAUAAUAAGUAUGUUGGGACAACUGCACAAACACCAACCAAGUUUAUCGUGUUGUGAUGUAUUUUUGGCGAUCCCAUCUCGACGACGGCAAUGCACAACUCCACGAAAGAGCAGGCCUCCAAAGCCGCAUCUCUUGAGGACAUGCACCGUGUAAGCCAUGACAAUAUUUUUGAGGAGCAUCUCGACGCGACUUCUCCCUUCCAAUCGACUACAUCGACCGGUUUGUCUAUGGUCACUACUAGUACCUUUUGAAGUUUAUCAUGCAAUAUUUUUGAUGUAGUAUGUCGUCUGUGAUUUGCUCCAGCAACACACUCCCUCCGUAAACUAAUAUAAGAGUGUUUAGAUAACUACUUUAAUGAUUUAAACGUUUUUAUAUUAAUUUACAGAGGGAGUACUUGUUUUGUUGUUAGAUUUGGCUGAGCUUAACCCAAAUGCGUAUAUCCCAGCAGAAAACGAAUCCGCAUAAAGUAAACACAGUAUCUUCACCCCAUUCCUCUCUUCAUCCUACACGGAGUACAAAAGGUUAAAGCAAAGUAGGUUACCUUGGAAUUUUGUUCCUACUAUAGUUUUCACUUGUUCACGGGUACCUAGCCACGCUAAUGAUUCAUCCACGCGAUUAGGUUAAGAUCGUGCUUUAUCAACACGCCGGUGCAUCGCCGUUCCCAACGACAAAAAAUAAGCAUACAAUUUUCUGGAAAGGAAGAAAAAACUGCCAAGCAAACAAAACCGACGCCAACCACACUGGUCACGCCUCCCGAGGCCAAUCCACCUCGGGAUCAACGACCCUGCAGGCCCCGGGGGGCCGCUCCCGCCUCAGCCCGCCGGCCCAGCGGCCCGCUCCGAUGGCGGCCACGCGGUGGGCUGCUCGAAUCCAACGGCGACGGAGCGGUUAGCGGCGGGGCGGCCCACGUGGUGCGUACGUGGUUGCACGAGAGGGGGAGCGUGACGUGCGCGGCUUCCACGGAGGCGCAACGUGGGCGAGAUCCUGGGCGUCGGUUUUAGCUUUAGGGCGGCCUGUAGUGGUGGUGCCAACGACGUGAGGCUCGCAAAGCUUUUCAACGGCAAAGCACUGAUUGCUAGUGCUGCGUGGACAAUGUGAGCAUGACUCAGUGGGGUUGGUGGGGCCCACCAGGAGUGAUCCAUCCGUGGUGCAGUAUGGCAAGGUGGUUUUUUUUUUUUUUUGGGCAAGGUGGUUUUAGGGGCUAUGGGUGUUUCUUUUUUACCAAAAAAAGAUGUAAGGAGCUAUAGUGGAUAGUAAAAGUCCGAAUAAUUUUGACGUCGAACGUUCGGUAUUAAGUUCAAUGGAGCGAGCAUGUCGAAUGCGUACGAGCGGAUGCUUAGGGGAGUGACGAUGCAAGGAGAGAUGGGCGGAGGAAUGAGCACUGAAGGAGGAAAAAUGGGCGAAGACAGGAGAUGAGAGGGGAAGGAGGAGAAAGGGAUGCACAAAGAGCAGACUGACUAACCUCGAUGGGGAAGACCGACGAUGGCGUGUGACGGCGAGCUCGAUCAGGGCCGUAGACGAGUAUACUAAGUGAGCGUAAAGAACCAGAUGACUAGGAGCGCGAUGAUGCUUCGAUUUGUCCGACGGUGGAAGGGAGGGGCACCAUUUGAGGAGGAGCACAACAUGAAAUACUAAGAGUGGAUACAGAUGGGACGGCGAAAACGACGUUGUGGAGCACAAUGGCGCGAGUAAGAGAUAGAUGGAGAGGGCGAGGGGGGAAGGGAGUGGAUGGCGGCGACUAUAAGAGGGGGCGACCCACGUGGAAGCAUGACCAGGUAACACUCUAUUUCAUGCAAUGCACGCUACAUAGCCGAGUGAGGUACAUAGUCGAAUGGGGUACACGCAUGUGUACUUCGACUAUUAUGACCUGUUGCGAGCAUCAUAUAAUGCUACCUCCCCUUCAUGGUGCCCCAAUCACGGUGGUUUUUGCAGAGUGAUUUUGUACAAGAAUCAACACAGGGUAAAUCAUCAAUAAAAACCUCAAAUGUGGAUCUUUGAAUUAAAGAAGUGAUUCAAUGCUUGCUAGCAAAUUUGCCUUUUGCCAUGAAGCAAAUUACAAUCAAAACGCUCAUAAAAAACCCAUUCAAACUCACCAAAAAUGACCCAAUCAGCCCGAUGUUGCCAUAGAUGAAGGCGACGAGCACAUGGUGCUGCACUGCACUGCAUGGUGGCGCUACUGCUGUCAUGCAAAUGUCGUCUUCCCCGCGACCAUAAAUCGGGGAGCUGUUUCCUUUUUCUCUCUCACCGCGGUGAAACCCCGAUUUAACAGGCUUUUAAGGGUGGCCUCCACCACCGCCAGCGCCAGGCCCAGCCAGCAGGCCAGGGAAGAGUGGCUCUGGCUUUAUUUACUCCUAAAGAAUCGUUCAGCCGAGCUCCGCUUGACCCCUCCCCCCUCCCCUCCCCUCUCUCUCCUCCACUCCGCUCCCUCCCGAUUAAACCCUACUCUCUCUCUCCGCCUGCGUCUUUUCCGCCCGCCUCCACCCAGCGAAAAAAUAAUUCCGGGGGCGACGGCCGUCGGGAGUCGAUAGAAUUCGUCCCGGGAGGAGGAGGAGGAGGGAUUUCUCGUUUUGUUCUGUUUGUUUGGAUUUGGAUGGAGGCGGCGGCCGAGUGCGCGGGCGGCGGCGGCGGCGGCGCCCUAAGGGAGGUCAAGAAGGAGGCCGGCGCCGGCGACGUGUUCCUCGUCGACGACCUCCUCGACCUGCCCUGCGACGACGACGAGGAGGAGGACGACGCGGCGGCGGCGGGGUUCGCCGACGGCGCCGCGGACUGUAGCGCCGGCGAGGCCGGGGGCGGCGGCGGCAACGCGUCGGCCGACUCGUCCACGGUCACCGCCGUCGACAGCUGCAGCAACUCCCUCUCCGGCGGCCUCGCCGACGGCGACUUCUCCGGCGGCCUCUGCGAGCCGGUAAUUAUUAAUUCCUCUCUUUUUACCCUCCCGUGUCCAUUAUUAAUUCACGCGUUAUUCCUUCGUCGCACGAAUUUAUCAAAUUUUGGCGGACGAAUUAUUCACGGUCAAUGCGUUCGUCUCCCCCCAUUAACACUCGCCCCGCCCCAUGAAUGAAGGCAGCUUUUGGAGUGACGUCUCCCGUAAAUAGUAACCGAUGAACCCCGCGGCCGGAAAUAGCAACCUCCUAAAUGCUCUCCGUUUCUCCGGACACGGAAACGAAACGAAUACUCGAUCACUUUAUUAUCAUUUCCGAGCUAAUUCCGCGGCGCUCGUUUGGUUCCAUUGCUGAAAAUCGUGUGCUGUGUGUCUGUGGAUUUGCAGUACGACCAGUUGGCGGAGCUGGAAUGGCUGUCCAACUACAUGGGCGACGACAACUUCCCCACCGAGGACCUCCGCAAGCUGCAGCUCAUCUCCGGCAUCCCCUCGGCGUCGUCCCAGACGGCCCCGCGCGCGCCCGCCGCGCCGGUGCAGCCUUGUGGCGGUGGUGGCGUCGGUACGGCCUUGUGGCGCUCGGAGGCGCACGCCGGGCAGGUGUCCGUGCCGGGCAAGGCGCGCAGCAAGCGGUCCCGCGUCGCGCCCUGCAACUGGUCCUCCCGCCUGCUCGUGCUCCCGCCGGCGCCGGCCUCGCCGCCCUCCCCGGCGUCCGCCGUCAUCUCGCCGUCCGAGUCCGGGACGGCGUUCCCGCUCUUCCCGAACAAGAAGCCCGCCAAGUCGUCCAAGAAGGAGGGGCCGGCCGCCCCCGCCAUGACCGCCGCCGAGGCCGCGGCCGCGGAGGGGCGGCGGUGCCUGCACUGCGAGACCGACAAGACCCCGCAGUGGAGGACGGGGCCGCUGGGGCCCAAGACGCUGUGCAACGCGUGCGGGGUGCGGUACAAGUCCGGGCGGCUGGUGCCGGAGUACCGGCCGGCGGCGAGCCCGACGUUCGUGCCGUCCAAGCAUUCCAACUCGCACCGCAAGGUGGUGGAGCUGCGGCGCCAGAAGGACACCCCGCAGCAGCAGCUCCUGCACCAUUCUCAGCACAAGCCGCCGCAGCAGCAGCUCCUGCACCAUUCUCAGCACCAGCCGCCGCAGCAGCAGCACCAGCUGGGGCCGGGCCUGGGGUUCCAGGUGCCGAGCCCGCUGCUGUUCGACGGGCCGCACCUGGGCGGCGGCGCGGACGAGUUCCUCAUCCGCAACCGCAUAGGCCCCGACCACCGGCAGCUCAUCUAGCCUAGCUUAGCUAGCCAGCGCCGCCCAGCUCGCCUAGGAGGAGGAUCGUUCCGUUAGCCCCAGCAGCAAUAAUUCAGCAAGAAGAACAGCCAGCCCAGCCCAGCUAAAACUUUUUUCCUAGGAGUUGUUGUUUCUCCGGAUUUUAAUUUACCUUUUUCCAGAGACCUGUAUGCUUGCUUGCUUGCUACACUCUCCGUGUUUCUCAGUCAGCUCUCGAGUUCCUUAGAAACUAAUCCUAGGGUGCAUUUUGUUCGUUUUCCUUCCUUCUCUUCUUUUUUCAUAGACUUUUUUCUUUGCUUUUCCAUAGAUUUUUUCCUUCAUUUUCUUGUAAUGCAGUCAGUGCAGGGUUCAUAGCCUAGAUUCUAGAACAAGAGGAAACAACAACAGCAGCAAACAGCAACGAGCAGCAGUGUUUUUCUUUGAAAGCAAUUCUGCAAAAGUAACCAGUGAAAUUGAGCAAAGCUAGUAGCUCGAGGCUCCAG
rnacentral:lncRNA from 1 species